AUAAACCUCACUAUUUUCUUCUCAUGUCUUAAAUACUAACACCUCCCACAUACAGACACAGGAAAAAGAAUCUCUCUCAGCUUCCUUCGGUUACGCUCUCAAAAACCCUGAGAAAAAAAGGCUUCAAUAAUGGCAUUCUCAAAGGCUUCAAUGGCUACGCUGAUGAUGGCCGUUGUCCUGGCCGCCUUGGUUCUCGCAGGGUCGGCUCAAGAUCUCUCUCCCGCUCCAGCUCCCGCUUCCGGAGCCGGCUCGAUCUCGCCUUCCUUAGCCGCCGCUGGUGUCGCUCUCCUUUGCGCUCUGGUGUUCGGCUCAGUUCUCAGGGUUUAAGAGGCCGGUUCUCUAUCUGAUUACGUGUCACUAGCUUAUUGGGUGUGUAGAGUGGUUUCUUCAUUUUUUUUUUCUUUUUUUGCGUUGUUUAGACGUUAUGUGGGCUUAGUAGCGGCGGAUCCACUGGGUUUUUAGUCUUUUAGGGAGUGAGUCUUAUUACAUAUAAAUUUUAUAAUGAGAGAGAGUUAUCAGUUAUGCUUUGUAGCUCACGGAGAUGUGAUGAUAUGAUUUGAUUUAUGCUUGUUAUUUUGGAGACUUAUGAUUAUUAUCAGUAUAUAUUAAGCUAUUCCUUUUGUUGUUAUGUUAUAUAUCAUUCACUAUCCGCUUUUCUUUUAAUUUUUUAUGUAAAUCAAUUUAAUUUUAUUUCACUCGAAUCGCGUUCGCCGGACGACAGAAGAGGAAAUACAUUUCCCACAAGAAUCGAUGAUAAGUAAAAGUAAUGCACUUGUAAACAGUAAUUCGUAUCUUCCCUAAACAAAAAAGUCCCAAGUGGCAAGGCACAGCUGACACGUUUACUCCUUCGCUUCUGCACUCCCAUUCCCAUGUGCAAUUGUGCGAAAGGACAAUGAAUGAGAGAAUUGGAGGAGAAGGGGAAUCUGUGCCUUUAACAUGACCAACAGGAACAUUUUUUUUUUUUUUUUGGCCUUUUUUUAAUUAUUCCAAGUCCAAGUCAUCGGGUCUGUGGCACCUUCGUGAAACAGAAAACAACAGGGGGAUCAAAUGUGCAAUGAUUCAAUUUGUUGGUUUAUAGGGGUAUAUCAUUACACUUGGCGAUGCCUUGGAAGAAGUCGCCAGAAUGAUGAUUUUCGAAAAGUUUAUGUUGGACAAGGCAGUCUUUGCGAAAUUGACUCAUUCGGCCCAACCAUCCUUUUGUAAUCAAUGGCUAAGCGUGAUUUGCAACGUAUUAUUUGACCGGUGAGCUGAGGUUGUUCUCCCUUUUCAUUCGCCCCCACCCAACCCCCCACCUGGAGUUCCCCAACAUUUGCUUAGCUUGUACGAAUAUUAUAGUUGGUUUGUGGACCCUACCACGUAAUUGUUGAUUCCCGUUUGCUUUGCCCUACAUAAUUAUAUACUAAAUCAAUAAUUCUAGAAAUAUAAACUCUUUAACAAGCACUAAUUAUUCCAUUAAUACAGUUUGAGAUGACAUUUUAUAUUAGGCUAUUGAUAUGUUGGAGUUCACCUACGGUAAAAUAUGAAUUUUAAUUACACGUAAAAUGAUAAAUAAUAAAAAAAUAAUUCAUUUUUUAUUAUUCAUCACUUUGCUUGUAUGAUUGAGAUUCGCGCUCUACCGUAAGUGAACUCCAACAUAAUCAAACUCUUAUAUAUUAUUGUAUGACUGAAAUUCACACACCACUGUAAGUAAACUCCAACAUAAUCGAAACCCUUUAUAUUAUUGUUGCACGCUUUGUGCAAUUGAUUAUUUUUUAACUUAAAAAAUAAUUGAUGUAGGUCUCGUCGUAUUAAUUUGCACAAUAAAAUGUGCAGAAAUAAUUUAUAUUAGUACUCCAUAUUUGUCCAGUAGCCAAUGAGCUUAUUCAUGAACUUCAGCUCAACCAUCUUGUAAUGUGCGAAAAUAGCCUUGCUUUGUCUAUAAGCAAAGCUAGUGGCACAUUCGUCACUCCCACUUUAGACAGGUUAUACCAAGUUGGUAAAGUAGCUUUUAACUUGUUAACCAGCAAAAUGGACGUAGCCCACUACUGGGCCUAUAGCGUGACCAGCUCAGUCAACCAGCACCUAAAUAAAGCUGAAACAAAAGAAAAAUAUAAGCAAAACAAAAACAGGUGUUGAUGCCUGAUGCCUCUAUAAUAAUAAUAAUAAUAAAAUAACCGAGAGAGAGAAGAGAGAAGAGAGAAGAUAUGGCUAAAAUUUUAUCCUUUCAUUCAUCUCAGAGGGAGGGACGAAAGGUAACGAUUUACAGGGUAGCAACAUUUUGUCAUAUUCUCAACAAACAAAAAACAACAGCUAUCAACAGCUAUUCAUCUUCCUCUUCCUCUACUCUGAGUCUGAGUCCAUGUUACCCAUAGCCUUCAAUCCUCUCGGUCUCUGCAUCAGAUUAGAUCCCCGAUACAAACAUUAUGCUCCAUUAAUUUUUAAUGUAUAUGCUUCUCCAAUUGGGGAGUUGUAAUACAAAAAGUACCUUCUUGGAGAUUUUCUUCUCUCUAACUUCAUAACGUUCAAGGGUCAGGUCACAUAGCCAUGCACCAGGACUUACCAGCUGCAAAGAAAAACAUAAACUCAAUGCAACUUUGGCCUUUAAUUUCAGAUUUUGAUUUUGAUUGGGAUGCAAUAAAGAGAGAUUCCUGUGCUUUUUUAAAACAGUUAUGAUUUCAAUUAAUUUGUAAAAAAAAAUAAUUCCACCAUAAGCAAGAAGAUACUUGCAACCUCAAAAAGAAAAAAACUACUUGCAAAAAGAAUCGUCUACAGGUCGUGCGUUUAAGAAAGUUAUGGACGAAAAACUACGUGCAAUCUUUGCUCUCCACGCACUGUCAGUGUGGUCCAGCUUGGAGGACCACUACAAGAGUCACGAAACCACCUCCAUUGUUUAUUAUAAAUUAUUCUUAAAUAUUAUUUCAAUAAAGAGAAAAUUAAUCAUUAAAAACUAUUAGAGACAAGAAAAGUUAAUUCACCAAAAAGCAAUGUCCAUAUUACGGAAAUGCCCCACAAUAAUGGGCAAAGGGCCCAUCCGCUUCCGUCGGUUAAACUUUUACGAAGAAUAUUAUUACCUUUGGUGAGUAUUUGGACCUUACUUCGUUGAUAAGUUUUAGUGUUGUCUAUUGAAUCGCCAUCGUACACGUGUUGCAGAUUGAUCCCUCCAUCUCAAUCUGAGACACUCAUAAUGUUUAAAAGUUAAAACCAAGAGAAAAAUACAGUUUCCAGCUCUGUACUACCACGUCCUUGUUGACCCCACGUACCUCGUUUAAGGCAUUCUGUUAUCGGAUAAUUUUUAAAAACCUUCCUUAAGGUUUGGACUUGUUGUAAGUAGAUGGCAAAAAUUUAUUUAUUUAUAAAAAAUCUCCUACCGUCAGUUAAUUUUAACAUUGAUCGUUAGUUGACUGUGCAAAGACAAUAUUAUCCUUAACAAUACUUUAUAGACUGACAUAACUAAAAAAAAAACUAAAAUUAUUGACGCGAAAUACACAAACCCUAUUUUUUGACAAUGUUAUCCUUGUCAAUUUCAAAGAUUUAUAAUAUCAUAGGUAAAGAUUAUGACUAUUUCAUUUUCAAAUUUUUAAUUUUAUCUUUCUUGUAGGAACUUUAAGAAAAUAUCAAUAAUUUAAAGAGGAUUUUUCAAGUUUUUAAUUUUAUCUUUUUUGUAGGAACUUUAAAAAAAUAUCAAUAAUUUAAAGAGUGUAAAAUAACUAACAAUUUUAAUUUUUUUUUUUAGUUAUUUCCGUCUACAAACUAUUGUUAAGGGUAAUAUUGUAUUUGCACAGUCAACUAACGGUCAAUGUUAAAAUUAAUUGACGGUAGAAGAUUUUUUACAAAUAAACUAAUUCUCGCCAUCUACUUACAACAAGCCCAAACCUCAGGGGAAGUUUUUAAAAAUUACCCUCCUGUUACCCCCUCAUAUUCUUGUAAAAUGAUAAACCCACGAAUGAUUUUAUAAUUUAUACAAAUUAACGACGGAUAAAAAUUAGCUAAAAAUAAUAAUAAUAAUAAUAAUUAAUUUUUAAUUAUAUAAACCCAUAAUAAUUUUAUAUAACUAAUUCCGUCACGUCACUUCGAUUUAUAUACACUUACUUAUAGAAGGUAAUUAUAACUCUAUUAUUACUCAUUUCCACAUAUAAAACAUUUUCAACGCUUUCUUAAAAAAAAAAAAAAAGAACUCCCCGUAGCCCAAGAAAAGUAAAAUAAAUUCAAAAUUGCGGUAUUACCGUGAUAAUCUCUUACGGUAAAAUCUUGACUUAAGUAACUCUUAUUGGUCGUAAGAAUAUUUGAUUUUGAUAAAUUGGAACAUAAACAUAAAAAAAAUCAAAAACAGAAAAAACUUAAUGACAACUCAAUUGUCUCUUGUUAUUCAAUUAUCUCCCCCACGAAGUAAAGUAUGAAUUACUGCAUUACGGAAUGCCACAUUAUUUAGAAUAAUUUUUAAAAACAAAAGAUUUAAAAUAUGUACCAUUACUUUAAUGGAAUUUUCCGACUAAAUCAAGAGAAAUUUGAUUAUCAAAGCACAAAACUCGGGCAAGGGUAAUAUUCCCACCCCAGAUUUUUGUUAAUUUAUUCUACAUCCCGCACCCAAACCAGGACUCGGUCACUGGGAGGCUAACGUUACUACAGGUCAUUUUUAGGUACACGUCCACGCCUUUACCGACACGUGGACAUGUAUAUCUCACUGGUCACUUUACACACAGCCCUAUUUUUAAGCGAAAACAAAAAUUGAAGACUAAUAAAAAAAUAAUAAUAAAGUAGAUCAUAGUUUCACAUAAAUCAGGGUCCGACCCAGCAACCAUAUUUGUAGUAACAGCUACAUUCUUAAAAACCGUGUCCCAUCCCAAAAUAUCAUCAAAAGGCCGCAAGAGAUCUAUUGUACCUUGUGCUCCUAAAUGUUGUACCCCAAUAAAAUAUUCCUACAGAUGAUUAUUCACGAUAAUUAAAUUGCAACUAGAAUCAAAUUCGUUAAAUCUAAAUUCUAAAAUAACUAAAACAACAUCGUAGAUAAGUCUAGAUAUCAUGAAGGAUUAAACAAGGAAAGAAUAAGAAAAGCUUACAUUGACUGUGCGUUGAAUAAACUUUGCUCUCUUUUUGGGUCUCUGUGGCAGCUUAGACCCUUUAAUGGCCAUGAAAUCUUCCUCUUUCUCUUUGUUGGUUAAAGCAAUCACAAAUUUCGGGGGCCACACGGGUGGCGCCGCCUCGCCACUAGCGGAAGAGGAUCCACCUUUCUUGCUAUCAUGAGCUGUUUCCGAUGAUGCCCCUGAUUUGUUAUAAUCAUUGUUGUGGUGGUUGUGAUUGUUGUGACGGGUACCUCUCUUAUCGUGCGCACCCCUAUCUGGUGAAGCAAAACCUCUCACACCACCGUUGCUUUGGCCUCUCAUGGCACUUGAAUUCUCAGAGUUCCUAACAAACAAUACACACAUAACAACACAUCAAUUAACUGGACAUAACAUGUGAAAUAAAAAUGAAAUUUAAUACAGUCAAGUAGAGUGUUAAGGAAAAAGUAAAAAAAGUGAUGUGCUGAAGUGAAUUUUUAUGUAAGUACGAAAAUAACCUUGGGAGUGAUCAAGUAAAGUCGGGCUAAAUUUGAGAAGAAAGUCAUAUACGGUGAGUUCUUUUUUCUUUUGGCUUCUUUGGAGAGACUUUGGAUUGCGCUUUUUAAACAAAUAGGAAGUGUUGAUAUUUGCUAACUUGGCUGCCAUGAGAAAAAUAGUUUUGAUUCUAAUCUCCAUCUAACGAGCACAGCUGGUCCUAUGGGCGGUUUGUAGGCCGUUGGAUUCAUUUUCCUUUUCUAAGGUAUGGGCUACGUGUUGAUGGAUGGGUUGGCAUGUAGGAUAGAGUGGACCAGAUUCCUAAUACAAUUACAAUCGACGGCGGAAAUUUUGUUGAGAUUAGACUUGGGCAUCAUUGGACGCGUGGCAGGAACUUGCUAAUUCCAUGUUUCCUAGUUCCAAGUUCCAACGAGUCCACCAUGUGAGGACGCUUUGGCAGCGUUAUGGGCUAAAAUCAGGCGUGAUGAACUCAAGACAAGUUGGCUACCCUCUAGGCAAAUGCAAAAGGUCAAGAGUAGCACAAUUGAGUAAGAAGAGUAGUUUGAUUAGGAAUGCUAAUCAACCUAAUCUUCUUUUGCACAACUUUGAACAAAAUCAGUCCAAUAAGAUUGCAAUAUAGAAAAAGAAAAGAAUAAAACAUAAAUUGUGAGACUUAACUAUCUUCAAAUCAUCACUUUUCAAAAUCUCAAAUUACCCUCAUUUUUAUUCAAAAAAUAAAGGAAAAAUGUGAGUUGAUCAGUUUAUUUUUAUCUUCUGCAAAAGAAGCAAUUUGAGAUUUUAAAAAAUAAAAAAAUGAUCUAAAGAAUGUCAAUUUAUAACGAGAACAAUAAAAAUAUAACCCCAUAUAAAACUACAAUUAGCAGCCGCAGAUCAGUCAAAUAACAAAGCAAAGAUUACAGCCAAUUUCCCAAUUAAGAAUGUAAAUCAGUAAAUGUAAUAUUGGGAGAAUGCACCAUCUAAAACUUCACCAAUUAUAUGCUAAAGUCUAGAAACUAAUCAAAUUUAUAAAUAAAUGAAACUAUCCCCAAAUCUCAAGUGCAUUAUCUAUAGAUCACACACUUCAAACGCGACUAUUAGAUUCUAAGGAUCGUGAAAUGACAUGGGCAAGCCACUUUAGCAAGACUCAAAUCCUAGAAACUAAAGCAAUAGUAAAUAUAAGGACACCCUGACCUUAUGAACUCACCAUCAGGCAUCAGCUCUCCUGAGUUCUGAUUUGCACCAACCUGACCAAUUAGUGAAUGGACAAGUAUAAGCCUCAUAAGUAAGUACUCAGCCCCAAUUUUGGAAGUUUAAAAGUUCAUCUUGUAAUGAACAAGUAGAUCCAACUAACCUCCACUUCAGCAAAAGCAAAAUAAUUUGAUGCUGAAAUGUUAUUAGGCAUCAAGAUUCAGACGCCAGCUUAGUAUUCAUAUGAUAUUAUCUAUUCCUGGAACAGUCCACUCCACUACCAGAAAUAGACAAAUGUAUCAAACCAUAGUACAAUACCAAGGGACAUACUAUCCCAGACUAUGAACUAAUUAUUUCCAAUUUUAUAAAACAAGCAUAAAGGCUGCAAUUGGAAUUUAAAAUAUAAUAAUAAUAUCAGCAGAAAUGCAGAAUGACUCCGGGCUUACUGAUAUUACACAAACUAAUUAUGUCGACAGUGACCGUGUACCAACAGCGACUAAUGACUAAAGGUGAUCCAAAUUCAUGCUAUUACUGAAAAGGGCAACUAUCUUUCUUCAACAUUAAUUUAACAUAAACACCAAUUCAAUUGAAGAAGAAAAUAUAAUUCACCACGGUAAAACAUAUUUCUUGCGGCAGAAAACCAUUAAUUAAAGAUAAAGGGUAAAAAGGGACCCAUCAAAGAGAGCAGAUCGAAAUCUUUUUCCGCGCCAAUGUGGAUUAUAGAAAUCGAACAAUAAAGGAGCUAACACUAAACUGCGAACACGGACACAAAGCGCGUCACGGGCCCACGCGCAACCCAUUCAAUUAUCUAAACGUCAUACACACAACACUACAGUUGCCUCGCAAACACCAGCGAAGGUUCAGGCUCAGGCCCUCAGCGCGAACAACCCCACAGCUAAAAACAAGAUCCACCAUCUCAGCCGACAGUGUUUAAUACGCGCCGUAAGAAUAAGCAUACAAAUCUCUGUUUUUAUUCAAACAUAAAAUCAAACAAACGAUGAUACAGAGUUAUUACCUGAGCACACGCUGAGGUGGCGGUGGCGGUGGCGGAGGCGAAGAUGGCCGUCGACGGAGAUUAAAAUAACCGUUACCAAUAUUAUGGUUAGCGGUGGCAGUACUCGGCUGAUUGGACGUGUCUUUGUCGGUUCUUACGACUCGAACCGUCGUCCGAUGGGCCGAAGCGGACGAAUCGUCUUUGACUUGAACUUUCAUGCACCGGAGUCGCUUCCUGUUCCCCCACUGUAAGAUGAAAUCAGACGACGCCGUUUGCCUAGUGUUGAUCUCUGAGCUAGCUCUUAAUAAUCCCCCAUCUUUGCAAGUGCUCCCAUUAUUACCGCUUCUCAACAAGUCCUUAUCCAUCUCCUUUCGCAAACCUGUCCCAUUCAGAUAAGUUAAUUACAAUUACUCAUCCUAAAUUACGGUUAACUUGCAGAAUUAUACUAAAAAAGAAAAACAAAAUGAACAAUUUGGAUACGGCUUCGGCUUUCCGGCAACUUCCACGCCAUUUAAAACGAAUGAUUAAAAUUAAAAUUUUAGAGUAACGGCUAAGAAUUUUCCCAAAUUUUGAGAAGAAAAGUAGGCUUACCAUAAGAAUCACAUAUAUUAAAAUGCAACAAAAAUAUUGAAUACUGAGGAAGACCGAAGACUGGAAGAGGAAGAUCCGACAGCCAAGGAUUUUUCAAAAUGAAAAAAUGCAGAAUUCUCUACCGAGUGAUGCUGUAAUAGUCAUCAGCAGUGAAAAUGAGAAUUUUAAUUCAAAAAUAGAUCACAGACGUACUCACUCCAGAGGAUCUGACGAAGAAUACGCAUAGAAAACGGAGAAAAAAUUUCUCAAGCUCCAUGCUUUUGCUCGGCUGCCGAGAAAAUGUUCGAAAAAGAAAAUAAAGAAGGAUCGUGAAUUGCAACAAUCAGAACCAAUUCGUUGGUUCUAGAGAUCAAUUCGAGAAUGGAAAGAAGUUCUGAGAUGUUAUUUUUCUCUCUGCUUUCUUUCUCAGUAACCAAACGUAGGUAAUUUGAGAAAAAUCUGAGAAGCAGCCACAGCUAAAACUCAAAAUAAGACGAGACUGACAAAAAUUUUAAAGCUCGAAUAAGACGAGACUGAGAGAUGGUCAAAAGAACAAAAAUCAAAACGAAAAAAUAUUUCAUCAAUAACAAGUCAAGAUUUUCAUGGAACUGAAAUUUCUUGUAGACGCUAAUGAUGAAUUCUCGCCAGAGCCAAACAGCUGAAAAAACGAGAAUCGGAGUCGAACUUAAGUAUAAGCUUCGUAAUAAGAAGCAAGUGGAAACCGAUUCAAAACUGAAAUGAAAGAGAACCGGUCCCGAGUUAAAUCGACGAGAUGAAAAUCGAUAUGCUUGUUUUUUAUACCUCCAAUAUCUCAAAUUCGCCGAUAUUUUGCUUCUUUCAGUCGGCAGAAUACAAAUCGAAUGUAUAUCAGCUUCUCAACGAAAUGAUUGGCAUUUCAAAGACUUGAAAAUCUCCUGCUCUAAUGAGAGAUUAUGAUCUUCCCCUUACAGAAAUUUCUCUAUUCUCUUAAGAAAUGUAUCUGCAAAACAAAUAAAAUGAUUAUAUCAGAGGAUGAAUUAUACGGAAUUAACACUAAGCCAACUGAACCAUGUCGUCUUUUGUCAUUUUGAAUUUGUCUGUAAACUAAAGCAUGAACCAAACAACAAUUAUACCGGCCAAUUUUUUUAAAUUGAUCUUCUUAAUAAUGAAAAACAAAAGUGUGUUGGUAAUACACACCUCUAAAUCUCCUCUAUCUCUCUAUCGGAUUCAGAUUCUCAACAUUCCGUUAUCAUAUUCUCGUCAAUUCUCAGCCAAAGUAGUCUGUUUGGCUUCUGAGAAAACGAAAGAAAGUGAAUGAAAAUUCGCAGAGAAACCAGAGAGAGAACAAACAACACAAAGUGCUCUCCUUCCUUCUUCUGAUAAACGAAAUUCUCUCUCCCUUUUAAAACCAGUUUUAUACCCCUCUUUCAUACUCUCGGUUCCACACCGAGCAUUCGUGACCAUCAAUCAUCAAUCAAACGGUCCUGAUUACUCCUCCUUUGAACCGUCGACACCCGUCUAUCAUCAAGUUAGCAUGCGCCCGUGGCAAAUUUUUAUCACCUCACGGACUUCAUCAAUCUAACGGAAUCUUUAACGACGUUGAAUUUUUGUUGAAUUAUAUCAUUAUUUAUUCUGAUAUGUUUUCUAUUAUUUUAUUGUUGCAAUUUUUUUUUUUUUAACGCCGGUGUGGUGGCGCUUAUGAUUAGAGAGUAUUGAGUUACAUUCAAUAAGGUUAGUUAAUCACGUGACUGAUCAAACCACGGUUAUUUUUUUAUUAUUAGUUUAUUGUUGAAUUUUUUUUUUUCAAGCCGGUGUGGGGGCGCUCAUUAUUAGAGCAUCGCAGUAACAGUAGGGUUAGUUAAUCACGUGAGUGAACUAACCAUGGUUUAAUUUUAACCAGACCUGUGAAUCUAACGAUAGGUAUAAGGGCAAUUUUGGUAUUUUAUCGCGAUAAAUAACAUUUAAACAACAAUAAUAAAAUGACCUGCACGUGUUCUAAUGUUCUCUUACCUUAUUUUAUUUUUAAUGACGCAGUCAUUAUUCACGGUGGACAUUUAUAAUAAUUUUGUCAUCUUUCUAAUGCUAAGGUCAUUUUUAUAGGUAAUAUAGUUGCUUUAAUUUUUAAUGGUCAUUUUUGGUGGUAUAUACAUUUUUAUUAAUCGGACCAUUUUAGUGAUAUGAUCUCAAAGUUGCUUUCGAUUUUUUAAUGUGUUCGAUUAAAAUGGAGUAAUGAUACAUCUAUAAAUUUUUAUAUUAAUUUUGUAACAUAGUUGGUUGAAUGAAACCAACACAUUGUCCACAUAAUUUAUCUUUAUUAUAUUAUAUCUUCACUCAAUCAAUGAUAUUAUACCAUAUCAAUUUGUAUAAAAAUUACUUAUAUAACAAUUUAUAACUCUAUUAUUAUUCUUUAAAGUUACAUUUUAGGGUCUGUAAUUUUUUAUUUUCUUGGUAAUGAUCCCUUGGUAAUAUUGGUCAAUCACUCUUCUCCUUAAUAUUAAAGUGGAGAGUUUGAGUAUUCUCAUGUAGUUGUGAGAGUAUAAUAUGUUUGGACUUUUAUUGUAUUAAAAAAAAUUUCCUUCAAUUAAAAAAAAAUUGUUUUCCUCAAAAAUUGAAAGGGGUGCAUGCAUCUUUCAACGAGACAUUUUUUUAUAAAAUCCCUUAACAAAUACACAAACUUUGCAAAUUAAUUGCGUAUAAGAUCGAAGUUAAAAAAUAAAUAACUACAUAAAAUUGUUUAAUGUUACAAAUGCAAAUAUACUUCUUGUCUUUGAUCUUAUUAUGUUAAUUUAUAUUUUAACACUUUAUUAUGCAGCAACGGCCCGACUAUCUAAUAUAAAGGGCAAAUAACCUUAUAUUCAUAGUAUUUGUACUGAGCUAUUCUGGAUAGUUAUGAGAAGCAUCUACUGUUAUUGAAGCAAGAUUUCAAGAUUGGCCAUGUUUCUAAAGAGUAUGUUUCUAAUUGGAAAAUGUAUGUUUCUAAAGAGUGUAAUACUGCGUUUAGACUUGAUUUUUCUUUCCUUCAAUUAAAAAAGAAAAAAAAAUUGUUUUCCUCAAAAAGUGAAAGGGAAACAUACAUUUUCCAAUUAAAUAUUUUUAUAAAAUCCUUCAAGGUCUUAACAAGUACACAAACUUUAGCAAAUAAAAUUGUUUAAUAGUACAAAUGCAUAUAUAGUUCUUGUCUUUGAUCUUAUUAUGUUAAUUCAUAUUUUUUAACAUUUUAUUAUGCAUCAAAGGCUUCACUAUCUAGUAACAAGGACAAAUAACCUCGUAUUCAUUGUAUUUGUAUUAAGCUAUUUUGAAUAAUUAUAAGAAGUAUCUACUGUUAAUUUAGUAAGAUUUCAAGAUUGACCAUGUUUCUAAAAAUUAUAAUAGAGCAGCUGAUGCUUUGGUUAAAAAUCACAUUUAGGUAUUAUUAUUAUCUUAUACAGGUGAAGAUUUUCUACAACAUUUAACUUGUUUAUUUUGAAAUUUUGUCUUGCAAUAAUGAGAAUCUAUUUGGGGGGAAAAAAAACACCUUGUAUUUAACUUGUAUUUUUUUUUCAUUUUUGGAUGAGCUGUUAGAUUUGAAACAAUCUAAUUUAACGAGCAUGGAUGAAAAGAGUAAAUACAUUAUUGAAGGGGGUUACGGUCUUAGUCGGUCAAUCAUAUAUCUUUAUUAUUAUUAUUAGAGUUAUUAUCAUUUCACUGUUUCAAAAAUUACCAAAUAUCAAAUGACUACAACAAGUGUUGUCUUCUAUCAUCUUUCUAUUAUAUUUUUAUAAAAAUAUCAUUUUACUACUUUUUCAUUACAACCGUUAGUUGACCCGUUAGUUGACUAACAAAAUAUCAAUUUUACCCUUCAUGAUUAAAAAAAUAAUAAGAUAAAUUUUUAAUCCAUAUAUCAUAAUUCCAGUUAAAAUAAUUAUGUUGGUGUUUUAUAUCCAUUUUAAUAAAUAUAUUACAAAUUUAUUUUGUAAAUAAGCUUCAAGUAUUUUUUUUUUAAUCAUGAAGAGUGAAAUUAGUAUUUUGUUUGUUAAGGUUAUAACGGAAAAGUAGUAAAAUGAUAUUUUUAUAAAUAUAUAGUAAGAAAAUAAUAAGAGAUAAUACUUGUUGUAGUUAUUUGAUAUUUGAUAAUUUUUAAAGUAAUAAAAUAAUAAUAACCCUUAUUAUUAUUAUUAUUAUUAUUAUUAUUAUUAUUAUUGGAGCAUAGGAUCAUAGAUCUUAAAGUCUGCAACGUUUGUUGCAAGGCUCUGCGAUAUCAAUAGAUAAAAUGCUUGAUUCGUAAGUCUUUUUUUUUUUUUUUUUUUCUGCUUACAGUACUGCAGAAGUAGUUUCCUCAACUGUUCUGGCUGUCUCUCUUAACCUCACGGUGUUUCCUUGCCAAUUUGCUCUUUUAUUUACGGUCGAUUCUGUCACUUUCUCCAUUAACUAGCAUCACGUGGCAAUUUUUGGGCCUUUGGAUUUGUGCGCUUCAAAUUCAACGGCUUUGACGUGGCCUAUGCAACAAUGCCUAAAAUAAUGUCGGUGUGUGGUCAAUUUGUCACCUUCUCAAGUCCAUGCAGUAUGUACAAGAGCUGACCACUUGACGGAAAAUAAAGAGAUUGUUCAUUCAUUUGUUAUGGCCAUCUAAGUAAUUUCCUUGAAAGCCAAUUAGGCAAUAAUUUUUUUUAAUGAGCGUUCAAAAUAAUUUUAAAGGGUAAAAAUAUAAAUAUAUUUAUAAAGUUAAAAUAUAAAAUUUGAUUUUGAAUUAAUAUGAUAGUAAAUACAAAUCCACUAUUCAGAUAAUAAUUGAUAAGAAUUAAUAAGGAAAAUUGUCAAUUUUCUUACACUGAAAUCAAUAUCUAUCACUUACUCCCUAUUAUUUUCAUAAUACCUAAUAACUCACUGGUACCAUAAUUUUACAAUAUAAUCCUUAUUUUCAAGUACACUUUAUUGAUUUAACUAUAAACUGAAUAAAUCAUAUAAAUUGAAAAUAGAAUAAAAGAUUUAAAUACUAAAAAUAACAAAUAUAAGUUUCAGUAUGAAUAAAAAAUUAAUAAUAAGAUAUUUUUUUAUACUUUUUGUUAAUUUUAAAAAAAAAAUUCUAACAACCAUUAUUUAAUAUUUUAAGAUAAAAUAUCAAAUAAAUAACUCAUUUAUAUCUAUUUUCGCUUAAAUGUUUGUGCUCACAUAUCUUUGAAUACUAUAAAUAUAGUUGAAAACAAGUUAUAUCUAUUGAUUUAAAUAAGCAGAAAACUGCCAAACUCCGAGUUAAUAAUCCAUUAUCAAAUGACCUCACGAAAUAAAAUCAUAUCAUCUACCACAUCAUCAAUUUGAAUGCAAACUUUAUAUUGCCCCCAUGUAAGCUUAUUACUUAUUAUAAUUGUUUAUAAUAACUCUACAAGCUCAUGAAUGAUAAAAAGUCAUAUGUAAUGAAUAAAGUUGAGAUUUUGAAAGUUCAAAGCAUCAAAUUUUAUUCCUAAAGCCUAAGUGAUCAUUUGCUUAAUCAAUAACACCAUGUAUCGCGCAUGUUUUUUUAUUUAUUAAACUUAAAAAUAACAUUUUCUCUAAAAUUAUUAAUACGUACUAAUAUUUACAUCAUAUAUUGGAUAUCUGCUCUACUCAAUACUCACCAUUUAAUAGAAUAGAAGCUUAUUUUUACUCAAUUUUUAAUUGGGAAUAGAAGUCUUUUCUGGUGACUUAAAUUACAGCUCUUAGACAUUUGUUCUGCAUUUAAUUAACAGGAGAGAUUCUAAUAUAUACCCAAUUUUUAAACCCAAUUUUUAAUUAGAAGAAGAAAUAGAAAUCUGCUAUAAGAACUUAAAUCGCAGCUCUCACAAUGGUAACUUGUGAGAGUUGCAGUUUACCACUCAACUAUUUUAACAGAGUGCGCUGCUUCGGCCUUGGCCGAAGUGGUGGGCUGCUACCCUCACAACACAAUGCUUGUGAGGGCAGCGGUUCUAGCCCCCACAAAGCUUUUGUGGGGGCUAAAUGUUCUUUAUAUUUAAAAAAUCUUUCUCCCUUGCGAAAUGCAAGUGGAGUAUGGACAUCCCUUUCAUGUGAGGGGUUAUUUGUCUGGGCAUGUACUUCAUAGAAUUCAUUGUAAUAAUGUAAGUCUCAAUCAUAUAUAUAUCUGAUUGUAAAUAUCAGUGUAAUAUCUCUGCUACAAUAAGCAGUUGUUGUAAAUAUCUGUGUAAUGCAAUAAUCUGAUGAUUAAUCAGUAUUAAAAAAAAAAAACAGAGUGCUUUGAAAAUACCAUAUGAUAUAUCUAACACAAACAACUUUAUAUAAUACACGCUGUCAUACAUGUUAUGACAUGCGUGGCAAGCUCCCAUUAUAGGAAGCUCAGCUGUAGCUCGAAAGCCCCUAAUAAGAACUCAUCAUUAACAUAAUAGCCAAUCGCACACUAUAAUAACGUACGCGAGGGCGUGCACAAGAUCAGCUUGCUCUAAAAUUGUUCAUAACAACAAUACUUUAUGAGAUAACAAUCACAUAAAAAGACAAGCCAAAACAAAACAAAACAAGACCGACACGAAAGUAAUGUCGGUGUUCCGAUUACUUAGACCUCUCUAUAUUACAAUUUAUGGAUUAUGUAAUUCUGUAUUAAAGGGGAAAAUAAAGGAAAAAAAAUAAAAGAAAAGGUCUAUGUAGUACUAUCUAAAGGUCUGUAUCAACCACCAAUGGCCUUUGGUUCAAUGAGAGAAGUCUUAUACUUAUAAUAUCGAGUGUAACGAUUCGAGCCUCCACAAGAGUAUUAUGGAAGUUAUUUUCAGUUUUUUCUUAAUUAUUAAUUAAUUGAGUGUAGACAAUUUCUCCCUUACAAAAUAUGAGUGGAGUAGGCAUCCCUCGAAUAUUAGAGAGUGUUUAAAGUAUUUAAACAAAUGCUUCAAUAAAUUAAUGUAUGGUGGUGAUCUCAGUUGUUUAAUAUAAUUAUAAAUAUUAUAAUUAUAAUGUUAAUAUCAAUAACCAUAUCUGUAUAACAUAAUUAAAAAAAAAAGGGUCGAUAUCAAUCAAUGGGAUGAUAUUUAUUUAAUCGAGAUAAAAACGGAUUCAAAAAGUUUAGGUCAAAGACAUAAACAUCCUUCAUAUCUAAGAUUUCAUUGGCCUCGAAUGGAGGACAUUAUUGUCAAAUCAAAUUGUCCCUACAAGCACUAAUCGAUCAGGUUAGGGUUUCGCUCUUUCUCUGAAUUGCCGAAACGAAGAAUCACCGAGUUAAGGGGAAAGAAGAUAACACUAAAUCAAUCAGAUAUCACGUUUCAUAUCAACCGAUUAAUCACUGGUGCGUUUUGUUUUCUUUCCAAUUGUUCUAUUCUCGUGCUUUUAUUUGUGAGAUUUUUUUUUCUCCGAUCGAAAUAUCACAUGCAUCGGGAUCUUGAAAUUCAAGAUCUAUAAAUUCAUUUUUGCUGAAGAUUGAGAAUUGUUUUGUAUUUUCGUUAGAUGUAUAACGGAAUCGGCUUACAGACCCCGAGGGGGUCCGGAACCAACGGAUACAUACAAACGAACAAGUUUUUUGUGAAGGCCAAAACAGGUCGGGUUACCGACAGCGUCAAGGGAUUCGAAGCGGGUCAGGGAACGGCUGGAGUCACCAGAAAACCGAACCAGGAGAUCCUCGAGCAUGAGCGUAAGCGCCAGAUUCAACUCAAAUUGGUGGUGCUCGAAGACAAACUCGUUGAUCAGGGUUACACUGAGGCUGAAAUUGCCGAGAAGCUUGAGGAGGCUCGGAAGACUCUUGAAGUCGCCUCAGCUUCAGCGGAAAGUGGUGGGCCUGCCGCUGAUGCAAAGUAAGUAAUUCUUGCUAUGAAUAAUAAGAUACAUACAAAUUUUCAUUCUUGAGGUGACAUGAUAUGAUUGGAACAGUGAAAAAUAACAAGUACAGUUCAAGUACUCAUACCACUUCAGUUUGUAGAGAUGUCUUUUUGUAGACAUUUUUUCAUGUGUGUAACUUUUAAGCGUGUCAGUUUUAUUUAUUUUCACUGCUAUAAUAUUAUGAAUGGUUAGUUUUCUUGUGCGUUGUUUUAUAUGUGUGAUAAAGCAAUUGGUAUGUUUUUAGUAUGUGCUGCUUGUGUUUGAAGUUUGAAGCAUGUAUAAUUAGGGAACCUGCAAUUUUGCCUCUCCUUUCGGCUGCAAGGGGAUUGUUGAAUCACUUCCUUGAUGGCUUUGUUCUGGAGGCAUAUAUGUAAUUCAGAAUGGGAUUCAUUAAAGGGGAAUUAAUUUUUUUCUAAUUUCCCUUACUCUUGUUUCUUGGAAAUUCCUUCGUCUUUGUAAUAGUUGUUCCAUUUUCAGCUUUAUUUUACACUUGAGAUUUCUGUUACCCGAGUUAUUUUACUUGAUUAAUCAUGUCUUCUCAGUAGGAAAUUUUUGUAUAGGUUACCUAGGAAUUAACUUCUAAUUUUCUCCUUGCUUGUUCAGGGUAUCAGAAACAGAGACCCAUAAAAUUGCUGCUAGAAAGGAGAAACAAAUGGAAAUGUUUAGAGCUGCACUUGGUAUAGGUACGAUUGAAGCUAGUGAACAAGGGGCUGAAGGAAGUGAUGUUUCACCAAGAAAUGGUCGAAAGAAUGCUUCCAAUGAUGACGGUAAGUGGCAUGAGAAAAGCGAACAUGCCUUUUUGGAUAGAGAGAAUGUUCGGAAGAGACGUGUGAUAGAAGAGGGGGAAAUUGUGGAGGACGAUCAGAAAAAGACUGUUAAAGAUGAGAAAAUUAAGAAGGAUGAGACCAGGCACCAUAAGGGUAAUGGCAGAAAGAGAAGACAUGGAGACGAUUCUUCUGAUUCUGAUAGCAGCAGUAAGCAUGCAAGAAGGAUGCCCAAGAAGAAUCGUAAGGUUAGCCAGAGGAGUGAGAGUGAAAGUGACAGUGACAGUGAUAGUGAAAGCCCUAAGAAAAGGAGGAACUCUUCAAAGAAGCACAAGAAAAGCAGACAACAUUCUAGUGAUGGUUCAGAUAAUUCUUCUUCUGAUGACGCUGGUAGCAGUAAGCAUGCAAGAGCGGUGCCAAAGAAGAAUCGUAAGGUUAGCCUGAGAAGUGAUAGUGAAAGUGACAGUGACAGUGGUGGUGAAAGCCCUAAGAAAAGGAGGAACUCUUCGAAGAAGCACAAGAAAAGCAGAAAACAUUCUAGUGAUAGUUCAGAUUAUUCUUCUUCUGAUGACACUGGUAAGGUUAGUUCCAUGAAGGAAGUUGAGAAAUAUGGAAAAAGUCAUAGGAGACAUGAUUCGGAUAAUGGUUCUGAUUUUGAUGAAGAUUCAUCUAAGCACAGGACUCGGAAGGGGAGUAGGCAUGUGAAAGCAAGUGUACGUCAUGAUUCUGAGGAUGAUUUUGAUAAUGGUAUUGGUAUGGAAAAGGAUAAAAGUCAUCUUGAGAAAAGGGGCAAUCAGCUGGGUGGAAGCCGCAGAGGGGAGCGAGAAAAUUUUGACUUAAGGUCUCACCAAAAGAGCAACUAUGAUAGUUAUGGGAAAAACAGGCGAGGCUAUGAUGUUGAUGAUGCAGAUGUGAUAAAGAGGAGAUCGAGAAGGAAUGACACUGAUGAUGACAGUGGCAAUAAAAUUGAGAAGCGCAGGAUAAGUAGGAGGCAUAAUUCUGAUAAUGAAAACUCAGAUUCCAGCUAUGGGAGGAAAAAUUAUAAAGCAUCCCUUGGAAGGCCUGAAGCGAUCGAAAAUGAGUCUCCUUUGGACAAUAGCAAUAGAAAUAGGAGUGAGUCUGACAAGGGAAGUGGUGACGGAGAUUCAGACAGCAGUGCAAGUGAUUACGGACGUAAGAAAAGUGGAAAGAACCGUGUGGGUGAAAACAGAACUGGAAGUGGAAAUGGUAUGAGUGGUAGAAGUGGACGAAGUGAUCAUGGGUACAGUCCUGCUGGAAGUGACAGGAAAAGAGAAAGAAAUGGUCGAAAAGAUGACGAUAUGUUAGACGCACUGAGGAAAUUAGAGGAGCGAAGUCUGUACCAGUAUGAAAGAGAUGCUGCAGAUAAGGGAAGGUCUACCUAUGAACAUCAGGAAAUGAGGAUGGCCAAGAGGAAGUAUGAUGAGGCAAACAGGGAGGAGCGACCAGAAGCAAGGUUAAGGAGUAGUAUUGUUGGGAAGGAUGCAAUGCACGAAGGCCAUCAUGCAGAUGCAAAACCGGAGUCUGAAUUGAACGCCAGACCACGUGGGAAUGAGGAUGGUCGUAGGGGGGAUGAUGAAGAUUCCAAAGAGCAUGCAGGGUUUAGAAGGCAAAACAUGGAUGAAGAGGAGGCUAGAGGGGGAAGGCAUCGGAGAGCUGAAGAACACAAAUAUGGAAGGCACGGAAAGGAUCAUGAAGAGCUGCAGCGAGAAAGUCAAAGGCAUGGAAGAGGGGAGGAAGAAGAGCGAGGAAGUCGAAGGCAUGGGAGAGGGGAGGAAGAAGAGCGAGGAAGUCGAAGGCUUGGAAGAGGGGAGGAAGAAGAGCGGCGUAGUCGAAGGCAUGGGAGAGGGGAGGAAGAAGAGAGGCGUAGUCGAAAGCAUGGGAGAGGGGAGGGAGAAGUGCAAGAAAGUAAGGGAAAUGAGCUGGACAAACAAGCGGAUUACUCCAAGAGAGUUAGAUAUGAUGAUUCUCGGUCAAGUGAGAGAAGGAGGUAUGCGUACAAGCAUGAAGAUGAUCGGGGCAGACGUUGAGACUGAAGCAGCUAUCUGAUAUCUGCUGUAUUGCUGGUGAGUUUAUUUCUGUUGUUGGAACUUACUUUUUUAUGCUUCUAUUGACGAAAAGGUUUUAAAUUUCUUUUAGAAAGUAAAUUGAGAUUUUACAAGUUGUUUUAUCUUUGUAUGUUUAAGCCUGUAAAUACCAAUAAUUAGCAUAGUCUGUUAUUAUAAGUAUAGACAGACCUAAGCUGAUGUCUCCAGUUGCCUUUAUUAUCUCACAUAAAUUUGCAAUACAUAAUGGCAUGGGAAAUUGCUUUCGUAAUGCAGAGAAAGAAAAUGGAACCUGUAUGUCAUGCUGUUAAUUGAAAGGCAUGCUAACUACACAUAAAGCUUGGGUAUUUGUGAAUUUUAGCAUCUAAGCAUCUUGGAUUUGCAUAGACAUGCCUGAAUGACUAUGAUGGUGUGGCCUCUCUAGGUGUUUUUCGUCAGCCUACCUAGACUGAUUAACUUUUGUACAAAGAAUAAAAUUGAUGGCAGGAUAGAUUCAUGGUCACAUCUGAACUUAAAUUGUUAUUUAAUUUUAUUUUGUAUGCGUCUUUUAUGAAAACAAAGAUGAAAUUGAUUAAUACAAUAAUGCCAGGCAAAAGUCUAUGAUUGUUUUAUUAUGCUACUUGCUCCCUCUGAUUGCCAGUAAAUCAGUUAUUACAGGCUUGCUAGAUCAAUGCUGACAAGAUAGGCAAAUCUCCAAGCUAAACCAGCUUGCUGAAGUUAUGGAAGGGGGAAGUCCUGCUACAUGAAUUGGCAGAUAUGAUUGGUGGUGUUUGUGCGGGGUUCUCUCGUACAGGUUUAUGCAUUGGGAUGGGAGUAUUUGCAAUUUUGGUCUGGAUUUGUAUUUGCUCGGUUCGUGUUCUGGAAAACAUAUAUAGUAGUAGUCGGUAUAUCACAGUGUUAGAAGACCAUAAUUUACCUUUUGUAUUUCCGUGAAUGAAUUAUUACUUUGUUUUUGCCGCUGACUAGAUGAUCGACCCCUGUUUAUUUUAAUGUUUUAUAUCAAGGAUUUAUUAGGAAAAUAUUUAAGUCCUACAGGCAGAAACUCUGGGGAAGAGUUUCCGUUAAAAGAAAGAUUGGGGUGUGAAUUUUGGUUUUGAAAUUUGUUUACGUAAGUGUGGAGGAUUGUUAUUUUGAUUUUCAAGAAGACGAAGGGGAAAACGAAGCUGAAGGAAGAAACGCUUGAUCCUAAGCCAACGUUAUCGGUUAAUGCAGCGGAGAAAUUUGUCUAAAAGACUCUUUUGAAAUGUCUGGCAAUAAUUACAGCCAUGACUUAAAAGUUGAAAGUAAUUUUCCUUUACAAUUUGUUUGAUGAAAAUUUUAUGUUCUGCUUGCUUGCUACUUACUAUGAUUAUAUUUUAAGGGUGCGUUGACUAUGUUAAAAUAAAAUGAGUAAUUAACAAACAUGAUAUAACAAUAUUUUAAUACCGUGAGAAGUUCUAAUACCCUAGUAACAAAAAUGUCAUAUUUGCUGAACAAUACGAUCUUUUUUAAUCCAAAAUUAGAGCUUUUAUUUCAAUAUUUAGAGCAACACCACGAAGAGGGUUGAGUUGCACGGUCUACAAAUCAGGAACAAAUAUAGCUACAUAAGCAUAAAAUAGCAUCGCAUACAUCCAAAAUAUAUACUAUCAAAUUACAACUGCGGUCUGGCAGGGAAGAGCUUUUAAAUAUAAUAAUUACAAGGAAGCAAUCACCAGCCAAAUGAAAAUAGACAUUGCCAUAAAUGGAAGCAAUCAUCAGCCAAAUGAAAAUAGAUAUUGCCAUAUUGGCGACUAUAAUGAAAACUAACAUAUUUCAAGAACUGGCUUAUGAUAUUCGCACAGUUCUCGGCUUCUUUAUGCACUGAAUCCUUUGUCGAGAGAACUCCAAGGACCAGAAGGAAUAUUUUCACAGGCUUGUGCUGAUGCUUCCGCCAUCUUCUCUUUCCCAAUUCCUGUAUUACAGAUGUUUGCAAGAGAACGCAUGUGCUUCAUUCCAUAUUGCGAUAGAGCUCCACAGUGCGACUCAAAAGUCCUCACCUGCACAGAGGAAUAGACAGAAAAGAACCUUGUUAAUGAUAUUUUAAGUGUUGUCAAGGGAUUAAAAAAUACAAGAAUUGAUGAUCAGGAAUUUUACCAGUGAUUUGAGGCAGCCCCAGUCAUCAACAAGAGGCUGACCAGCAGGUCGAACAGUGUUCAAGAUCUCUGGACCUUUCUCAAUUCCAAAUAAGAGCUUUCCAAUAAGUUUGAUGCUGUGGUCUACAUGCAUUCUAUGAGACAUUGCUUCAAAAAACUGCUUCUGAGCUUCAGCCUUCCUAGGAGUGCCCUCAGGUGCCUUGCGGUACUAUUAAAGUAACGGAUAGGCAAAGUGAGGUAUAUUCUUAAGUAGAAAGGAGAAAAUUUUCAGACAUACUGCAGAAAGGGUCGCUAUUUUACAAUUCACCCCCCCCCCCCCCCCCCCCCCCCCCCCCCAAAAAAAAAUCUAUUUAGGGCGUUCUGACUGUUAUUUCCACAGGUAACAUAGCAGGGUAACCAAAACUUCCACAUCUCAAGCAAAUAGAAACAACAUGUUCUAUAGGGGUUUUGUACCCAAUGGCCAAUGGACUCUGCUUAUACUGCUUUGGGUAUAAUAGAGAACUGGCAUACCUAAAAAUGGUUCCAAAAUUCUUAAUAUCAAGCUACUACCAUGCUUUGUUACAUCACUAACCUCUUUUCCUAAUUCCAACUUAACCAAUCAUAAGACCCUUAUACAGUUUACACCAACCUCAACAACGAGAUGACAAACUUUCAAACCCAUGUUGAACAUAGAAUUGUGAUCCAUCCCCACAUUGGGGAUUGAAAAAGUAAAUGAAUAAAAUACACUAGAGAGGCAGCAUUCAAUUUAAUGAGCUAUGUGCAUUGUUGGAUACAUACCUUGUCCCAGAAAUGCAAGAGAUCGGCAUCUCGCUGGUUAACAGCUUUAGAUGCUGGCCUUAAGGAGUUCUCAUCCACAAAAGUGUAGUUAUCAUUUGCAGGAUUUGUACCCAAGUACGUGAAGAGAUUGUUCUUGCUAAGACCGAUAUCACCAUAUUGCAUGACAUGAGAGCCAUACGAAUUGUAACUAGCAGUCCUUGUUUUAACCUGAAAUUUCGAAAAUCAAAAAAACUGAUUUUAGCGGUUAUCAAAACAAGCAGGUAAGAGCAGGAUCUAGGAUUCUUAAAAAGCCAACUGUUACUAAUUUUAUUUGCACUGAGUUAACCAUUAUCUGUGUAUAAUGAACAUCGAUGAAGUAAUAAAGUCUCAGUGAGAUCUUACCAGUUCAUACUGCUGGUGAAGAGUUUCUGUCCGCAAGUUGUGUAUGUCACUGUGCAAAGGUCAAAAUAUUAAAAUUCACCCAAAAAAAAAAAAAAGGCACACGCACACACUGCUUCUCUAGGAAAAAAACUGCACAAAAUGAUAAAUUUUUAGAAAAGUUUUGUUCAGUAAGUUAAUAAAUCCGGUCAAACCAGUACUUUUCUUCUAUUUUCAGAGAUUACAGAAGACAGACAUAGACAUGUUGUUACUCAAGGAAACAGAAAAAUGUUGCCAAAGUGAAAUAAAUAAAAUCAUAAAUGUUGUCAUACCUGUCCUCCAUCCAAGCAAUACUAUACAAGUCACCCAAACAAGUGCUAUAUUCAGGGGGAGGACCAGGAAUCUCUCCAGGACAAUAGGUCCCCCAACUGCUCUCUUCAGCAUUUGAAGCUGUGGUUGCAUAGAUAUUUAAGCCCUCAGGAAGAAGACCCUCAAAGAUACUUCCAGAUUCACAGGCUUCGAGAUAAAAUACCUAAAUUUUUUGAUAUUGAAACCAACAAAAAUUUCAAUUUGCCAAGACUUUUAUCGAAAUAGAACACAUGUCAAAUGGCAGUUCACCAAUUACUUACCAAGCUUUUGUAGUUCCCAGAAGCAUGCUUCUUUUUUAAGACAUCGAUCAGUUCAUCAGCAUAUAUGUAUCGACUGGUGGGCAUCCCUAAAAUAGAUCACAAAACAGGUGAACUAAGAAGUCAAUUUUACAACAGAAGUUUAAAAAUAGUGUCGGUUAUAACAUAUAUAUCCACUCUGUUGAAAAAAUAAGGUAGGAUAUUUCAAGUAAAACCAAUACACUUUUAACCUUCUGAGUAACCAAUUUUUACAUGAGUCAUGUUGGCCUAGGCUUCAAACAACAUGCAACAGCAUAACAACACAAUCAAAUUUUUAUUCCCAGUAAAAUCACAAAUAUGAAAAUAAAUAAAUAAUAAUAAUAAUAAUAAUAAUAAUAGAAGAAUUUGUUUAUAUACAUAGCUUGCACCGCAAGUGAUGUGGCAUCUGACGUUGCAAGAUUGACACCCUAUUGAUAAAUGAUAAAAUCAACCAAAACUUAAACAUGACCAUUAAUGAUUGGUGAUUCAUCACUUGAGAUACAAACUAUGAAUCCCGACUCAGUAAAUAUAAUAUUACCAUAAAAGAAAUGCCUUUAGUGGUUAAAGAAAAUAAUUUUGAAUCUUUAAACCAUGUGAGACGUUCUCUAACAGGGUUUUUCUAGUGACAGUCAUAUACCACCAAAACCGGUUUGAUUUGGGCCAAAAGAAAAAAAGAUAAUCCAAUUCUAUGGUGUCUAUUUUCUAAAAAUCACUUCAGAAUCAAAAUCAAGUUUUAUGACACGCGCUGAACUAAAACCAGAAAUUGACCAUAAGAUGGAAGAAAUCCAAGCCCAAGGACCACCACCAUCUAAUUCGGGUAACUACAGCCACUAUUCAAACAGCACAAAAAAAACACAUACAAUAUAAGACAGAGUGGGGAACUUAUGAAGAAUCGUGGCUACUAACCUAGCACCCCAGGGCCACCAUGAUCUGAGUAGAAUAUGAAAAUAUGAUCAUUGGGGCCGCUAUCCACAACCUUCCCACUGCCCCCUGUAAGAGCUGUUUUAUUUCCCAGGAUAACAGCAAAAAAGUUUUCAACAGUAACAUCUUCCCCCGUGUAAUCCUGCCACAUGAAAGAAGAAACCAUGAAAAAAAUAAUAGUAGUAGUAGUAAUAAAGAACUUUAUCACAUAUUCAGAUGGUUGAUCUUUGAUGCAAUAGUGAGAAUAGGAAUACAAGCUCCUAUACAACUCUACCCAUACGAACGGAUGUGACAUUAUUAUAUCACUAUCAUAUGUUCCCCACUAUUUAUUUGCUUUUAUUUCUUUGAAAAAUUGCCACAACAUGUUAUAUGAGUAGAGUUUGUAGAGGAUUAUGUAAACCUAGAAUUACUCUUGAGGGAAAGAGACCUUUGGAACUCCUUUGUAAACAUCAUCGCCAUGGGGGUGGUUAAUGAUGACUCCAGGCCUUGGGUUCUCUUCAUUGAAAGCGAUGUCAUCAUACAUGAAAACAAUAAUAUUUUCAUCCUUCAGCCCACCUUUCCUCAAGAGUUGAUAAGCAUGACAAAUAUCAGCCUGAAAUAGAAAUAAAAUAAAAUAAAUACAAAAAAUGAUUUAUGAAGCUCUACACAGAAUAUGAUUAUGACAUCAAUAGACAGUAUAAUAUGCUGAAAUUCAUAAUUAGAAAGCAUGUAUGUGUGCAUGUAUAUAUAGAGAGAGAGUCCUUCUUUGUUGAGGACAUCCUCACUUUAACAAAAUAAGAUAUCACUAAAAUACAAAAAACAUAUAUUUCAAUCUAUUAGUAUAUUGAAAUUUUUAUUUUUAUUUUUUGUCUUUUGCUGGCAUUCUCACCUUAACAAAGUAAGAAUGCCCUCUCUCUAUAUAUAUAUGAAAAGUGGACUUGAUAGGAAAUCAAAUCCCCUAACAGCAAUAUUUACAUCAAGCGGCUUACACAAAAGGUGCAAAUACAGUUACCCACUUAUUUAAAGUAAGAAAUCUUGCCUCUGAUUCAUACAAUCAUUGACAGUGUACACAAACAAUUGUCACUCACAGGCAAAUCACAAAAGUUUCACUUGAGAUGAUGAAUAAAUAAAUGAAAGUAAUAUAUAUAUAUGUUUUUCAAAGAAAUAACCAAAAUUUUUUAUUGGGGAAAACCUUUAACCAGACUGAUACAAUUAAGAAAUAUGUCAAGCUAUGUGAUAGUUUGUUUGUUUGUUUAUUAUUAUUAUUAUUAUUAUUAAUUUUUUUAAGAGAUAGUGCUUAAGUUGCACAAACAAACUGGAAAUUUGGUUUUUUUUAAAAAAAAAACCGAAAAUAUGAAAUGAAUUUCACAUUCUUUCUUUUGUCUGAUUGUCUCGGCUUACUUGCUGCUUACGUAAAUUAAACAGUUACGCGCAAAAUGAGAUUCUCAAUAUUCAGACAUAAUUUAUGGCGAGCUUUUUAAAUACAAGCAUCAAAGAAAACCUUAACAUUACUUCACUUUCUGAAAAAAAAAAUUGAAAAAAAGAAAAAGAAAAAAAUUUACAAAAAUAAAAUAAACUUUCAUUAUAAUAUUUACGAAAAGAAUAAAACUUGGUAAUUCCAAGGAAUUUAUUAAAAUAAAACGUGAUUUCAAAAAAUAAAAUUCAGAUAGCAGACCUGAUGCCUGUAAUUCCAGAAGCCAUUAGAUCCGGCAAGCAGGACGGCCCAUCUCGUGCCGACAGAAUCAUCAUCAUCGUUGACCUUUGCCCCUCCCCCACCAUUAUGGAAGAACCUAUAGGCUUCCGAUGGUAGCUUCAGAAUGUCACCUGCUAUGUCUCUGCUUCCAUCGGCGAUUCCUGCAAGAGCGACUAGGAGCGUGAUUAGCACGCCGGAGGCAAGGCGCGUCAUGGUUUUUUGAAGGGGGUUGAUUGGUUGCUGGAGCUAGUUAUGGAAAUGUUGUUGUGGGGAGGAAGAGCUCUGUUAUUUAUAAUACCGAGUGAUGCACUGCUGACAAUAUAUUUUUUCUUUUGUUAUUUUAUUUUAAACGGGAAAAUAUUAAUAAGGGGUAAAAAUGUUUUAAUUUAUUUCAAUUGGGUAAAAUAAUUUAUAAAAUUCUUAAUCAAUACCCUAUUUAUUACAAAAUUACCAACUUAUUUGGUUAAAAGUUAAAACUAACGAUUAGGACAGAAUCAUUUGUUCAAUAAUUAUACUUGGAAAUUAGAAAUCUUAAGACUAUAUUAUAUUGAUCAUAUUUUAAUUUUUAUUUGUUAUAAUUAAAAUUAAGUUGAUUAUACUUUAUGCAGCAUUAUAAAUAUUCUAAAAUAUUUAUUAAAAUCAUGUUAAAUGGGUAUUUAUUAAAAAUAUCAAAAAACUAUAUUAAAUAAAUAAUGUAAAUAAUAGAUGAGUCGACUUAGCGUAUGAGAUUCUUGAUUAGAUUUAUAUGCUAUUCUUUAUGAGCUCAAAUAUAAUAUCCCAACUCUCAUUUCACUACUUAUUAAAGAUAAUAAAUUAUUUUGUUAUAUUAAUUUUUCAGACUGCUCAAACACUUAAUUUAAAUGAAAUACAUCAAAACGUUUGGGGUCGCGUUGAUUUUACGUUUGAGCGUUACUUUAUUCUAAUUCUGCAUAGAGAAAUUGAGAAUUUUAGACAGUGUAAAGCGAGUGAGGUUGCAGAUGGCACGUACACGUCAGCAUAAGUGAGGAUAAUUUUCUUAUGGACGGUCCAGAUGCAACCGAUCUUCUAACAAAAGUUGAUGUCAGCGGCACCAGCCACCAGGCGUCUCAGCCGUACGUCAGCAUUGAUGAAAGAAAGAUCCAUGCGGUUCGUGCCGUGAAUUGUGGAAGUGUGAAGUGCAGGGGAUGCCGGGGUAAUUUAGCAUGACUGCGGUUGGGUCCCUUUCGAGGUUGGAUAAACGCGCGAUGUAACGUGGGGUCACUUAGCCGCCCCGGUAAUCGUUAGGUAAUGUUGUUGUAUUGGCUGCUUUCGUCUGCUUUUCAUCCCGUCAAACGAAGAGAGUUUCGGCCCAUCACGUCUUUGUUCUUUUUCCCAGAAAAAAAUAAAAAUUAUUCAUUUUCCUGGAAAACACACCCGACCGUAUUACACGGAACACAAAAUUAGUGCAAACGACUAUUUAUUUUUGUUAUUAUUGUAAAAUUCGAAAAUCUUUUGAUAACUAAUAAGAGGAUCCUUUUAACAUAACGUAUUGUUGGAUCAAGACCAGCAAAUAAACCAAUCUCAAUCCCCCAAGAUCCACUCGACUUUAGCUUUAAUCAAAGAACCAAUGAAGAUCAACAAAUGAUAUGUAGAACAAUUUUAGCAAGAACCACAAAUAUCAAAGAAAGUAAAAACAGAGGAACAAUCAACACAAAUCAGUUAAGUGGUUCAGCCACUAAGUGACCUACAUCCACUGUGAAAGAGAGGAAGAAAUCUUUACUGAUUCAGUGUUUUCAAGAUACAAGAUGUUUAAGAAGCUAUCACCCUCUUGAUUCAACGCAAUAAUGAAGCAAGGACAGCUUAUAUACACGCCUGAAUUGCCCUAGAAACAACCCCCAGAAACCAGCUCUCCAGACCUGGGUUUGUUGCUUAACAAAACCCAGAAUUUUCCCGCUGAUCUUAACAGCAUUAACAGCCUUUCAAACUGAUUUCAACACACGUGUAAAAGCUUCAUUCAAAACACAGCUUUCUUCAGUCGUUUAGGAUAAGUAAAGCAUGUGCAAUAUCACGUGCUUAACUUACUUGUACGACUGAUCCACCAGGCUCGUCAUACGCCUCACCAGUGUCACAAAACCGACAUAUCAUCCAGUUCAGAAUAUCUAAACUGACAUGUCAUAUCUAAAUACAACUUCAGAUUUGCAGUUCACUUCUUCAACAUUCUCCACCUUGAACCAAAUCUGUUACUCCUCUUCCUUCUCCAUCACCAUAUCCUCUGCAGCUUAGAUCCUGCAGACACCAGCUGAGUUCACACAGAACUCAAACUUGGCACCAGGUAGAGCUUUGGUUAACAUGUCUGCCACAUUAUCAUCAGUGUGUAUUUUCACCAGUUUUACCACUCCUUUUGACAUUUUCAGCCUGACAAAAUGAAGCUUGAUGUCAAUGUGUUUAGUCUUCUCAUGGUGUAUCUGAUUUUUGCUUAAACAGAUAGCACUCUAACUGUCACAAUGAACUGUUAUUUGCCUCUGUUCAUACCCCAGGUCAGUCACCAUUCCCUUAAGCCAAAUAGCUUCCUUUAUGGCAUUUGCUGCAGCAGUGUACUCGGCUUCAGUUGUUGACAAAGCAACAACAUUCUGCAAAGAAGCUUUCCAACUUAUAGUGCACCCACUCAGUCUAAACAAAUAUCCAGUCAAUGACCUCCUCUUAUCAAGGUCUCCAGCAUAGUCAGAAUCCACAAAACCUUCUACGUUGACCUCCUUCCUUCCAUCAGUUCCAUAUAUCAAACCAUAGCUUAUGGUGCCGUUAAGAUACCUCAAAAUCCACAUCACAGCCCUCCAAUGUUCUUUCCCUGGAUUUGCCAUAUAUCUACUUACUACACUCACUGCAUAGGACAAAUCAGGUCUAGUCAAAACCAUUGCAUACAUUAGACACCCUACUGCACUUGAAUAUGGAAUUGAGCUAGCUUCAGAUCUUUCAGCAUCAGUUUUUGGACACUGUUGUGAUGACAGUCUGAAGUGAGCUGGUAGUGGAGUCUGAACUGGCUUGGCUUUUCCCAUUUCAAACCUCUCAAGCACUUUCCUGAUGUAAUUCUGCUGUGAUAGAAUCAGGGUGUCAUUUCUUCUAUCUCUAAUCAACUCAACACCAAGGAUCUUCUUAGCCUCACCAAGAUCCUUCAUAUCAAAUGAACCCCUCAGCUGCUGUUUUAGUUUAUUUAUCUGAUCCAUAUGUUUACAUGCUAUCAGCAUGUCAUCAACAUAUAGCAGCAGAUAAAUCUCAUUGUCAUCUCCCACACCCUUGUGAUACACACAGCAAUCAAAGGGACACCUCUGAAAACUGUUCUCAAGCAUAAACCUGUCAAACCUCAAAUACCAUUGUCUUGGGGAUUGCUUAAGCCCAUAUAAGGAUUUUCUGAGAUGACACACAUGAUCAUGUCUUCUUGGAUCUACAUAUCCUUCUGGUUGUUUCAUCACAAUCAUUUCAUUUAACUCACCAUGAAGAAAAGCAGUCUUAACAUCCAUCUGCUCAAGAUGCAUGUUAUUUACUGCUACAAGUGCUAGCAAGAUCCUUAAAGAGGUAUGACUUACCACAGGAGAGAAGAUUUCUGUAUAAUCUACCCCUUCCUUUUGUAUGAAGCCUUUGGCUACAAGCCUGACUUUGUAUCUCUUUGGCUCGACUUCUGGUAUACCAUCUUUAACCUUGUAAACCCACUUACAGCCAACUACCUUCUUAUUUGGUGGUUUUUCAAUUAAGAUCCAAGUGCGAUUCUUGAACAGUGACUGCAUCUCCUCAUCCAUAGCAGCCUUCUAUUUUUCUGAUUCAUUUCAUUUUACAGCUUCUGAGUAUGUUUUUGGUUCAUCUGUGUCAAGCUCAUGUGCUGCUGUUAAUGCAAAUGCAAUCAGGUCUGCAUGUGCAUAUCUCUUAGGUGGUCUUAUAACCCUUCUUUCCCUGUCUCUUACAAGUUGAUAACUCCUGUCACCCUGAUCAUCUUCAGAUUCAGCUUCUGAUUCAGACAUAUUCUUCUUAGCCUCAGUUUCUGACUCAACAAUGGUCUUUCUUUUUGUAGCUGUAGUUGAUGACUCCACCUCAAACUGAGACUUGUGGUUCUCACUCAUGGGGUGAUUGGGUUCAGUCUUUGAAGCUUCUAAGUGUUUGCAUACUUCAGCUUCAUUGAAGACCACAUCUCUGCUGAUUAUGGCUUUUGGUGGCUUAAAAUCAGUGCACCAGAGUUUGUAUCCCUUUACCCCUUCUGGAUAGCCAAUAAACACACCCUUAAGAGCUCUAGGUUCUAGCUUCCCUUGCUUUGUGUGAGCAUAUGCAAGGCAUCCAAAUACCCUUAAGUUUGAAUAGUCAGCUGGCUUACCUGUCCAAAGCUCGAUUGGAGUUCUGAAGUUGAUUCCAGAAGAUGGACUCCUGUUAACAAUGUAACAGGCAGUGGAUAAGGUCUCUGCCCAUAAAGACAUAGGUAACUUGAUUGAAUAAGCAUGCACCUUACCUUAUUUAUCAAGGUUCUAUUCAUCCUCUCAGCUAAUCCAUUUUGCUGAGGUGUAUGUCUCACUGUUUUAUGCCUCACAACCCCAUUUUCAGCACAAAAAUCAUUAAACCUUUUGUUGCAAAACUCUAACCCAUUGUCAGUUCUCAACCUUCUAACCUUUCUGUUGGUUUGUGUUUCUACCAAGGUCUUCCAGAUUUUGAAUUUCUCAAAGGCAUCAUCCUUGGUUUUUAACACAUAAACCCACACCAUCCUUGAAAAGUCAUCUAUUAGAGACAUGAAGUAUCUAGCUCCACCUAAGGAUGCUGUCUGUGCAGGUCCCCACAGAUCAGCAUGGAUAUAAUCUAGGGUUCCUUUUGAGUUAUGGACUCCAGUACUGAAUUUUACUCUUGAAGACUUGCCUAAUACACAUUCUUCACAAAACCUCAAAGUCUCUAUUUUGUCCCUCCCUAAGACUCCCUGCUUUGACAGUUCCCUCAGCCCUCUUUCACUCAUAUGACCUAACCUUAAAUGCCACAUCAUUGUUUUAUCUAGACUCUGGUUUGAGACCCCAACAGCCCCUGUAACUGCUGUACCUUGAAGCACAUACAGGCCAUUGCUUAAGCUUCCUUUCAUUAAUACCAUUGACCCUCUCAUCACCUUUAAGGUACCUGAUUCUAGUUUAACAAGACAACCCAUUUUAUCUAGCAUACCUAAGGAAAUUAGAUUCCUCUUCAGGUCAGGCACAUGUCUUACAUUAGCUAACUCCCUGGUCAUGCCAUCUAACAUUUUCAGUCUUAUUAUGCCCUUCCCAACUACCUUACAGAUUGCAUCAUUCCCCAUUACUACUACUCCUCCAUUAUAGGCUUCAUAGUUGAGAAAUAGAUUUUUGUUUGGACACAUAUGAAAUGAGCAACCAGAAUCUAGAACCCAAUUACCUUUGGUUUGGUCAUCAGUCACAAGUAGAACUCCAGCUGAGUCAUAUCCAUCAUAUUCUUGACUUUCUGAAGCAACAGCAGCAUCUCCAGUUUUCUCCCUUGUAUCUUUUGGCUUAUUUUUCUUUUCUGGGCAAUCCUUCUUGAAAUGGCCUUCCUUGUGGCAGUGGAAGCAUUUCAUGUUCUUGGACCUGGAUUUGGAUAUUUUCUUCUUGCCCUUGUUGCCCUCUUUCUUUUCAGAUCUCCCUCUUGCCAUUAAACUUUCAGCUUCUCUCGAUUCCUUUUUUGUGGCAGCCUUGGAGCUCAAGGUUUCCUUCACAUCUACCAUUGUAAGGGUCUGCCUCCCAUACAUUAGUGUGUCAACCAGAUGUUCAAAGGAGCUUGGUAAUGAGCACAACAAGAUCAUUGCUUUAUCUUCAUCAUCAAUCUUUACAUUUAUGUCCUCAAGAUCAAGAAUGAUCUUAUUGAAGGCAUCAAUGUGAUCUGUUAUUGAUGACCCUUCUUCCAUUUGUAACAUGUACAGCUUUUUCUUGGUGGCUAAUCUCUUAGCCAUUGAUUUCUUGGUAUAUAAAUCUUCAAGCUUCUUCCAUAACCCUGCAGCUGUCUUCUCACCACCAACCUCUCUAAGUACUCCAUCACCCAGGCUCAAGAUUAUAACAUUAUGAGCUCUGUCCAGCACAUCAGGUAGAUCUUCAACAGAAACAUUUCUUGGCUUUUUUGAAGAUGAUUCUUCAGCAAGAGCUUCAUCCAAACCUUGAUGCACCAGCAGGGCUCUCAUCUUGAGCCUCUACAGGUGAAAGUCAUUUUCACCUGUGAACUUUUCCACCUCAAGCCUAGUUGAUCCCAUCUCCAAGAUUAAAGAAAGCAGUGACUGCUCUGAUACCAAUUUGUUGGAUCAAGACCAGCAAAUAAACCAAUCUCAAUCCCUCAAGAUCCACUCGACUUUAGCUUUAAUCAAAGAACCAAUGAAGAUCAACAAAUGCUAUGUAGAACAAUCUUAGCAAGAACCACAAAUAUCAAAGAAAGUAAAAACAGAGGAACAAUCAACACAAAUCAGUUAAGUGGUUCAGCCACUAAGUGACCUACAUCCACUGUGAAAGAGAGGAAGAAAUCUUUACUGAUUCAGUGUUUUCAAGAUACAAGAUGUUUAAGAAGCUAUCACCCUCUUGAUUCAACGCAAUAAUGAAGCAAGGACAGCUUAUAUACACGCCUGAAUUGCCCUAGAAACAACCCCCAGAAACCAGCUCUCCAGACCUGGGUUUGUUGCUUAACAAAACCCAGAAUUUUCCCGCUGAUCUUAACAGCAUUAACAGCCUUUCAAACUGAUUUCAACACACGUGUAAAAACUUCAUUCAAAACACAGCUUUCUUCAGUCGUUUAGGAUAAGUAAAGCAUGUGCAAUAUCACGUGCUCAACUUACUUGUACGGCUGAUCCACCAGGCUCGUCAUACGCCUCACCAGUGUCACAAAACCGACAUAUCAUCCAGUUCAGAAUAUCUAAACUGACAUAUCAUAUCUAAGUACAACUUCAAAUUUGCAGUUCACUUCUUCAACACGUAUGUUACACUAUUCACAUGAACAAUGAGUGGUGUGAGUGACUGUAACAUACAUUAAAUGUAUGUUAAGGUUUGUCCUAAUAAAAGAGUGUAUAAAAUAAAAUUCGUGAGAAUACGAUGAACUGCGAACGGAAUUUACGUAUAUAAUAUGCUUGUAGACAAUAGACUCAUCAUGUACCUUGUAAAUAAAAUAUGAAAGACACAAUCUUUUUUUUUUAAGUAUAAGACAUUUUAUUUUUUAUAAUUCAUUGUUGAGUUCAAUAACUUAAUUUAUAAAUGUGUUACCUCUCUCUUUUUUUCCACAUUUGAUAAUAACUAUAUAUAUAUAUAUAUAUAUAUAUAUAUAUAGUGUUUCGUCCUUUGAUUUUCAUGAAUAUGACAUUAAUUUUAUUAUUCUUAUUAUUAAACGGAUAUUAGCCGUGAUUAGCACAAUAAUAAUGAAUGUAACCCAUAAAUUGGCUUGAAAUUACAUAAAUCUCAUAGAAAUAAAUUUGGAGAAAUCUACUCUACCUAACUCUCGAGUUUUCUAAAGCAUAAAAACACUCUUUGUGAUAUUUUUAAUAAUUUCUUUUAUUAAAUUAUAAAAAAGUAUAAGCCGGGGAACAGAGAUAAGAAUCGCUCAAUCAAACGAAUCUGAAAUUAUCGAAUGGUGAAGCACACACGUAUGUCCUAUCAUCUCAUUUUUUUUUUCUAACCAAAACUUGGAAUAAAUGUCAAGCGAGAUACUUUUUCAACUUGGCCUCUUUGUUGUGAGAAUGACUUCGAUGGGAAUCUUUUGGAAUCGUGCACAUAAAGAUAACGCGACCAUGGGCCACGGCCUAUGGCCCUUGCCGAUUCAUCAGAAUUCAGUUGGAAUCAAUUUAAAUCAUUCAUGUAAGACAAAACAGAAUCGGCAGUAAACAGCAAGCGAUGAUGCCCAUUUGGUUAAGGAAUCCUUUCCCUGCUUGCACACUUCAACCACCUUUUGUCCCCCUUUUUUACCUUUGAUUUUGAAAUUCUUUACCAGUAUCAUGAAUUGAAUUAAUAAAAAAAUUACCAAUUGAUGAAUUAUUCAAUAAUUUUUUUAGCAGGAAGGACGUUAAAUAUCCAGUCAAAUUCAUUAAGGUUCCGUUUGGAAUUGAAGUACUGUACCUUUUAAGCUACAAUUGCUGUGAAAACAAAGAUGUCACUAUCAAACAAAAGUUAAUAAUAUAUAGUAAAUAUAAAUUUUAAAUAAUAAUUUUAAAAAUUUUAUUAAAGAUAUAAUAAUUUUUUUAUUAUACAAGUAAAAAAUUAUAUCAACAUAGCUUACAAGUUACAACAGUUAGUGUUUACCAAACACUUUAGUACUGUAACUUUUUAAACUACAGCUGCUCAACCUCAAUCCCAAAUACACACUAAAAUUAAUUCAAAUUUUUUGAAUUAUUAUAUUCAAUGCUAUCAUAUGAUAAUAGUAAGGGUUUCCAUUUUGAACCUGUCCAUAAAUCACACCAAUUGUUAGAAUUCACUCUCACAAAUUUGAACCUGCCCAUAAUAUAUACCCACGAUUUACUUAUAUUAAUUGAGAUUUUAAGUUUCCUACCCGAGUGAUAUUUAGACUGUAAAAAAUAUCCAUGCCUUAAGCUCAAGACUGUUCAAUAAAAAAUAAAAAUAAAAAAUCAAUCUUGCUUGAGAAUCACCUUGCAGCCCUCGGUCCAAAUAUAUAUAGAUAGAUAACAGUAGAUUUGACCAUUGUGGAUUCCAAAUAUUUGCCGUGAUAAAGUUUUCCACAUUGGUUGGUUUCAUUUCAAGUCCUCUUUCACAGAAAUCAACAUCAUCUAUCUUUCGGUUUUGGGCCACCGAAAGCAGCGCACACGAACGCCUAGGUUGCCACUUGCCAGUAAGGACACGUACAGGUUAUUAAUAAGCCUCGAAACACAGUGACAAGCCAUGUGCUGUUCAAUUUCGGACUAUUGCGUAGUUUACGUACGAUUUUUAUCUUUUUUCUUUUUUUUUUUAUGAUCGAUUACAAUUUAAAAACUUAUUCAGAAUUUAAGUAGAUAUACGUGUAGUGCAGCAAAAAAGGUUACUCAAAUUUAUUGUGGCGUCGACUGGCUAACCUUCCCUUCCCUUCCGCGCGCAACAUGAAUCUGCUUGUGACCUCUAACUUUUCACUGAGAGUGAGAGACGAGCCCACCAACCGCCACUACCGCCAGUGCCUGAGUGGCGUGUACUGCGGAAUUAUUGGAGGAAGUGAAAGAGGAGCCGUGCUUCAACGCAACAAUUUUAGUUUCAUCUCAAAAGAUUCUGAAUUUCGGACUGGGUCCCGGGAAGAUGCAUUUGCUGUUUUAUCGGAUGAUUGUUGUUUUUUAUAAUAAUUGAGAAGAGGAAAAAAAAAAGACACAAAGCAGUCAUAAUUAGCAGCCGCAGCCCGCAGCCCGCAGCCUGGGGUGUUUUCGUUUUCAAGCUCACGGGGAAUCAACCUCGCAGCCUCGUAGGCAUUUGCAAACGCUGAAAAUAAUUGCAAUUGGGCAGCGGCCACUGUCAUGCUGCUAUUGGCCACUUGCCACGCACGGCAAUUCUGACGCAUUAAAGAUAAUGAAAGUCAUUGUAGUUGUCAGUUUCAUGAUGUAGUGGCAUAGAAUAAUUGGGCCCCCAGGAGCAGGAAUCCAACCUGAAUCUCUAAUGUCAGAUUCAAGAAUUUAACAUUAUUUAACAGCAAGAAUCGUGGGAGAUCCACCCACUUUCCUUUUCUAAAGAUAUUUAUUUAUUCGUUCUUAACAUUUUUCGCUUGUAUUUAUUUUGUGCCUUAUCCUAUCUAUCGUCGUCCGCUUGAAAUCUGUGGCUGUCUGUGUACUGACACUUGCGUGAUACGAAAGAGUGGAGCUUUUACAUCACUCUAAAAACUAAAAUCCUUACAACAACGAUUUUUAUUUUUAUAAUUUUAUUCCUAAAAUACCACUAGUUUGAUUGAUAAAAUAUAUACCUGUAAAUUAAAAUUAACAUUUUGCACAUUUUGCUAUAAAAUAUUACCUUAGAAAAGGAUCUUUCUUUUAUGUUUUCAUUUUAUAAUUUUUUUAAAAUAUAUAAUUUAAAAUUAUUUUAAUUUUAUUAUAUAAUUUUUAUCUCCAUAACUUUGAACUCUUAUAAGUUUUUCAAUAAAAUAAUCUUUUAUUAAAAUUUGGAAAUAUAAUUAUAAUUUAUGAAAUAGGAUGGGUGUAAAAGUUUUGUUAAAAGAAGAAUUUUUCUUUCCCGAAAAAAAAAUUUUAAUUUUAGUUAUUUAAAUCAUUUCGAUAGAGAAAAAAAGGGUUUUAUAAAAAAAUUAAAGGGGUGUUAAAACUUGAAAGACCUAUUCCAAUAGGAAAUUGACGCCAUGUUGAUCCUUGAGUUUGAGGCCCCAGCGCAAGCUCAUCUUUUCUUAUCCAAAUAUUUAGGCUCCACUUUUAUUAUUCUGGAUUUUCUUAAUUAUAAUAUCAGAGUGCUUAAUUUGAGAUAAAUUUGAAUCUAUUUUACACCAAUUUUAUACCCAAUUUUAAUAAACUAUAUAUAUUAUAGCAAACGGGGUCUAAAAGGAACUGGUAAUUACUUGGGUUGGUUAUCUCACGUCUGUUUCUGGUCCAGCCCAAGUUUUUAGCCGAAGCUUGGAUUUUUUAUUAAUUGGGUUGGCUAUAACAAAACGAGCCCAGGGAUAUCCUCAUGAGUUGGACUAUUGGCACCCCUCCAUAAUCCUUUUCAAACCCUCUUUUAUUACAAUCAUAUUUCAAGACAAACACUUUAAUAUAUCUCACGUCUAUUUUAUCUCACUUCAAAUUUUUAUAUUUUUUCUCUUUAAAAAAAAUUCUUAUAUUUUCUCUACUAUCACACUCACACAUGUAAUUUUUUUUCUUAAAUUCUCUAUAAAAUUUUCUUCAAUUAAUACAACAAUCUAUUGAUAAUAAAUAAAACUCAUUUUGAUAAAAUUAUCUGACUUUUUUUAGACUCGUACAAAAACUUUUUACAUCAUAAUCUUAGAGAUAAUUUAUUUAAUUCAUUGAUUUUUGUCAAGAAGUUUAUCACUAAUAAAAAUUAUUUGUGAGGAGCAAAAAAAAUAAAAAAUUUACAAAUUCACAAAUUAAAUAUAUUUAUUUAGAAAUAAGAGUAAUUUUAGUAAUAAAUUUAGUAUAACUGAAAAAGCGGCUUUAAAAGAAUUUUGGAGGAGUGUUAAUAGUCUAACUCUAUUCUCAUUCCCCGAGAAUAAUUUGGAACCGAUCAGUUUUCUUUUCGGUUCGGUUUCAACCCGAAUAAAAAAAAAACCCGAUCGGGUUUGCCGUUUAAAAAAAACAAAAAACAAAAGUCAAAAGUGGUAUAAAACGCAUAAUAAAAAACACGUAAUCUUCCUUCUCCCUAGCGCAACCGCUAACCCUUAGCUGACAACCACCCACGCCACGCUGCAGCCACUGUUACCUCCUUUCAGUUGCGCCGGUGCUGCCUCAAUCGUUGGUCAGCCGAAAGCUGAAACUGUCGUCUCUACCGUCGCCAGUCACUGCCUCCGUCUUCGUUCGCCGUCGUCAGCCGCACAAGGUAAGAUUUUUUUUUUUUUGUGUAAUUUGGGACUUUGGGUGCUAUUAUUCAUGGUUGUUUACUGUAAUUUGGGUGAUGGUUAUUUAAAUACUGCAAUGGUGAUGGCUAUUUAAAUACUGUAAUUUGGUUGUUUACUCUUUUGAUUCCAUAAUCUGUGUCGUGGUAUUCUUAAAGAAAUGGGUUUGUUGGGAAGGUGUUAGCCAUCAUCAAUAAUAAGUCAAAAAUAACAACUGUUAUGAGUUUCUCUUAUUUAUUUACCUUUCUAAUAUCUUCUUCCAUCGACAAGCAACAACCUUUGCAGUUGAUCUGGGCUAGAAUUUGAUUCAUAUGAAACUGAAUUUCGAAUUUUAGGUGGUUGGGAUUUGAUUCAUUUGAAAAUGAAUAUGGAAUUUUAGGUUGUAACCCGAAUUGUUACCCCAAUCUAAAUGAAGACCUGAAUUUUUAAUCCAAUUCUAUCCGAAAAUCGAAUUCAGUGUUUGGGUUUUGAACCCGAUUGGAUUGAAUUUUCCAACCCCAACGGAUUGUAACCCAAGCCGAAACCCGAAAAACACUAACUGAAACCCGAUCUUCCCACCCCUACUCGUGGCUCAUGGCCUCUUUCCUCGUAGAUGAAUGUGAACAUGAGCUCAACUCACCGCCUAUUUGUUGUUUCUCAAGAGUGCCUAUUAUACUAUUAGAAUUCUAAAAGAUACAUUUCAUGCUUGCUUGUUCACUUUUCUAAUUAAGGUUUUAGUUUGAGGUUUUCAAUCUACGAUUGUCAGGUAACUGAUUGCAUGGUACAGGGGAGUUUUGAAGUUUAACAUGACAAUUACUAGGGUUUUGAGUUAUAUUGUGAACUUUGUUCUUGCGAUUUUUUUUUUUUUUCUGUAGGAUUUUUGGUUUCUUAUUCUUUAGGCGAUUAACUAAUUACUGUCACCACAAAAAAAAAAAAAAAUACAGCAUUACAGUGAAAUUUGCGUUAGUUGCAUUUAUGUCCUUUUUUUAAUUUCAAAUAAUUUAAUAUAAAGUUUGUUUGUGGCGGCUUAGUUGUGAGUUGUGUUCGUGGUAUGAAGUGGGCUAAGGGGGAAAACAAUGAUAAGGAAACUGUAAUCCUAAUCAGUAUUCGAUUUCAAAGUUAAUAUAAUUUGUCGGUGUGGUUCCUUUCUAAAUCAUUGUUUUAUUUUACUUUUGUAGUUUUAGGACUCACAUGGAUGAAGGAGAGAGCAUUUUAGGAGUAAUAUAUGAAGAUAGUGAAGAUAACUUAGAAGAUGGCGAAGAUGUUGAGAUGCUUGAUGUAGAGGAAGGAGAGCUUGCGGAGCAUAAUUCAAGCUCACAAACCAAUGUGGAGCAGAGCAGCAGUGGGGAUGUCAGUGCAGGAAAUCAGGGGUCACAAAGUAAAAACCGCAGGCGGAGGGCAAAUAAGAAGAAGAAUAAGAAAAAGAGGAGUGGUCCUGGCCCAAAUGUUACUGAUGUAAACAGGUUAUAUUCUUACUCUUACGUAUAUCACUCAGUUGGACAAUUGGUUGUAGGAGUUCAUUUUGUGGUUCUGAUGAUCUAGUACUUAUUGUUCUCAGGUUUGUUUCAGACACAUGUAAGCGGCUAAAAGAGAAGAAAUCUUACAUGGUAUACACAGCUGUUGGUUGUCUUGGCAUUCCUGCACUAAGUGAUCUCGUUAAGGAGGUACUGUUCUCCCUUUACUUCUACCUAAUUUUGCUUUUCACAAGAAUUAUAAAACUAAAAGUGAUAUUACUUAUUAUGAUUAUGAUGCUUAUAAAUUAAUUGUGCAUCCCUGGACUUGUACAUGGAUUACUUAAAGGUUUCCCGCUGUCUCCAUUUUCUUCACCAAAUCUAUGCAGUACUUGGUGUUUAUUGUUUUUGGUGAUCUUUGUGCGAGUAUCUCCUAUUUUUGGAUAUACUUGUGCAUCUUUUUGUGUUAGAAUGAGUGUGUUGUAAUAUUAUUAUCCAAAAUCAUACCUUUGAGCUGAGAUCUUGUUGUGUACCAAUUGCUUCAUUAAACAACUUUCAGCAUUAUGCUGAUGUUGGUCCUGAAUCUGUGAUGUUAGUUUUGAAUACUUCUGGGAAUGAUGUAACCUUAUCUCCUGAAGUUUCUCCACUUCGUGAAUUCAAUUGGUAAUGUUUAGAAAUCAACCACUCAAGUCUCUGCAAAAGUAAGAUUUGUUUGAGUCUUUUUUAGGAAAGGUGAGAAUCUGGGUUGUAGUUGGAUUUGGACCAGCCCAGAGCUGAAAUAUAUAUCCACUCUAUUUAAAGCCAUUCUACCAUUCUUGAUGUCUGAUGCUCUAUAUUGUUUCAAUACCCUUGCAGAUCUUUCUGGCAGAAGCCAUUUUGCUGCUCAAAUUAUGUGCUCUGAACUGAGAUAUACAAUGGCUGAACCUAUUCAUCGUUUACUUUUUGUGUAGGUUGUUAUAAUUUUUCCUUCAAGUUUUUCAAACAUUGUGCAUGGAAAUACCUAGAUCUACAUAGAUUUAUGUUAAAAAUCUAAGUAGAAAUGCUACCGAUGAAUGAAGAUAUGUUGUUUUUUUUUUGGGGGGGGGGGGAUUUUUCAAAUUUUUAGAGCAAACGUUAGUUCAUAUCUUUUGUUUCAAUGAAUUCAAAUUUUGAUGUGAGUGUUGGAAAUAAGUACUGUUUUAGGUCUCUGUUUCAUAUACACUGCUUGUGUAAGCUAAAGUUCCCUUAUUUACUAGUGAUAUGUAAUUUCCUUGGUUUUAGGGUCUUCAUUGUCAGGCUUUAAUAUCAAAUGAAAGCCUUUUUCUCCCUUGCUUUAUUAUACAUCAUCUUUUUAUUAUAUUUAAAGAAACUUUCAUAUCCAUCAAGUAUUUUGCGCCAGAAGAUAAAGCAUAGAUUAUAAACUAGCCUUUUGACCAUGGUUUUAGUUUGAUUAGAAAAUGUUGACUGAAAUUUGGGAGUUAUAAAGCUAUUUUAACUUGCUGUUGGGAGUGGAAGUGUGUUAGUUGUGGGAAGCAUACAUACCGUGAUCUAUGUAACUACUGCUUGUAGGUACAUACAUGGAGAUAUGGAGUUUAUGUUGGAGAAUUUGUGCUAUGGAAUGUGGUCUUUGCUUGUAUACAUUUAUAUAUGUAUUUUUAAUCUUGUACUACUUCCACAUUUGGUUUAUUAUGGAUAUUAUUGUCUGUCAUUAGAAAAUUUUCAUUUCUUUUAGGCUGACUUUUUUUCUUUCUUUUUUUUGGGGUUUUGUUUUUGGGGUAAACAUUGCUUUGCCAUUGGGAUUGUAUGAUGAAAUUUUAAUUUUCAGGUGGAGGCAAUUCAGGCAUGUGGAGGUCAGAUGACUGCUGAUAGCAGACGUUUUCGGACAGGUGGCGGCGUGUUGUGGAACAUCAUUAAAGCACGAGCACCAGGGGCCUACAAGGAGAUAAUGAAGAAGACAAAGGAAUUUGAGGUGUGUGUGAAAUUUAUGCAGUAAAUACUGUUUUAGUUGGUUAUUUAGAUGCUACUUUUCUUUUCAUACCUAUGUUUAAAGGUAUUAGAUCGUCCUUGGUGUGUUCAUUGGAGAGUAAUGAGAAAUGUAAAAAAAAAUGGCAAUUAGGGUUUGGUUCUAUAAAUCUCAAACUGCCCUGGUUCUAAUUGUGUGUGAUCUCACACAGACUCUAAGGAAGAGAAAGAAAGCAAACUCAAACAAAAAGAAGCGUGAUGAUUUGCUUCAAAAUCUUUUCUCAUUUGCCAACAUGCUCUGCUUUUUGUUUUUAAUCUGCCUUUAUUAUUAGCUUCCCCUAUUCUGUGGUCCACUUACACCACAACAGGGGAUUUAGCUGUUAAAAUUGGAUGACCUUUUUUCGACCUGGAUAUGGUUUCGUAUGUGCAGAAUUUCUGGCUUCUCUCUUCCUUUUUUUUUUUUUUUUUUUUUACUCCGACAGUGAAGGGCAUUGCUAUAGCAGUGGUGAAGUUUGUAUGGGGAGUUUGUGUACAGUAUCUGAACUUCCUAGGGUGCUAAAUUUUUAAUUCCCAAAUUACAAUUUUCUUUCUUAUUUUUGCAGAAGCAAUUUAGGCAACAAAACAACAGACAGGUGCCAGAGCAAAACAACCGGCAUGCUCCAGAGCAAAUUAAAGAGGCUUCCACACAAAGAACUGUUGGUGCAACCACUGAUGGAACCUCAGUCAGCAUUCUAGGUGGUGGUUCUCAGUCUGUUCCUCAAGAUCAAGAUGGAAAGUCUGGUGCUGAAGGAAAACCUAAAUCUGUUCAUGAUAGGAUCAGGGUACCUGUUUCAUACGAUGAUCUGCUAGCAGAGGAUCCCAAGAAUGAUUCCAUUUGAUUCUUGGGAAAUCCGUCAUGCCUUGUUUCUAAUUUUUAACAUGCGGUGGUACAGAUAUGGAUAUAGAGGCAACAGAACAAAAUUUUUACGCCGUCUUAGAAGAGAGAAUUGAGAGUAAUAGUUUUAAAGAGUGAUUAUUGUUGGCUAAUAUGAUUUCUUCCAUGACAAUGGAGGCUUUUGGUAUGUAACUCUUGGAUAGAGAAUGCUCUUAUCAUUUUGUAUUAAGAGCUUGUUAUUGCAAGUGUUGGAGAGGCCAUUUUUGUUUUAUUGAAUUAUUUAUUGUUUUGUACAAACUGGAAGCCUUGUAUUCCUAUCCUUCGAUUACAGUGGUUCAUCAACCAAAGCACCAGCUGUUUGUGAUCCUUUUCUCAGACAAUGUUGAAUAUUGAGGCUUCAAAAUGAAACAGAACAGAGAGUCACAGGAGGAUUGACUUCUGCUGCAGCAAGGAAUUACAGAGAAACAUUUGCACAAAUUGUUUAACGCCUUGAUCACCUCUUUUGAAGGAAGAGGCAAACCACAGUGCAAUCAUCCAUCUUUGAAGAUGGAAAUUUCUUUUUCCAUGCAGCGUUUGCCGCCUCAACCACCUUUCUCGCGGCCUCCUGCUUGUUAUCUGCCUCCCAAACAAUUGUUGCAACUUGGUUGCUGCUAAGCACAUCCAAAACCUGUGUACACAAAAGCAAUCAGCACCAUCAGCAACAUCUAUUAACUGAAUAAAGAGUACGGGAUGCAAGCAGUUGAAAUCCGAAGUACUUACCCCAUCGGUUGCGAGAAGUAUAAACUGGUCAUUAGAUGUUAGGCGGCGAUAAGAAACAUCAGGGAUUGCAAUUAUGCCAUGAUUUUUGAGUAGGAAGUCACCAAAAGCUCGAGACAUUGCAAGGCCUGGCGUGUCUUCAUGAGGCAGCCACACUCGCUGGAUGUGUGGCUCUUCCUUUAAUGCAAGUACUCGGCCACGGCAUUGCUUUAUUCUCUCUGCCUCACCUAUACAUUACAGAUGCUUGUCAAUCAACACAAACAAAUUCAACUAAACAUUCCCAUCACCUCAUUGUACUUUUGAAUGCGAAAAGCGAGAGGGUUCUUAGUUUCUUACUGGGCAAGCUAGGCUUCAAAUCUGUUGUCAAUUGAACAGCCUUGAGUUCCCCGUUAUCGGAAACUGUCCCUAGCACAGCCCUCGAGUCGCCAAGAUUAGCUAUGACAAGAUCUUCACCCUGCUUGGAUUACAAUGAAUAGAACUCUUUAACAUCCAAAGCUGAAAACAAUUGCAAGAAAUGAUUUCAUUGUUUGUUUACAGAAUCACUUGGUUUAAUACCUGUCUUAUGACGACGACAGCAGUGGUUCCACUGCAAAAGCAAUCCAAAUUUUCUUGAAGCUUAACUUCUUUGUCCAUAACCUUAAAGGCCUUAACACAAGCCUCUUGCCAUUUAUAAAAGUCAAUGCUUGGCAUCAUCACUUCUCCAUUUGCUUUAACGUUACUAUUUGAAAGAGCAUUCUUUUGGCUUAGUAUGAGUGAUGGCAACCGAUUUCUCACAAGCUCACUCACAACGUGACCAUGCUUUCCAUGCCCAUCAAAGACUCCGCAGAAUUCUCCAUCUUCCGUUCCAUAGCCCUUUUAAACAAACAAAAAGUUUCCGAGUUUUAAUAAACACCCCAAAAGCAGUAAAGCACAAAACUCGAAGAAAGAAACAACUUGUACAAACCUGGCAAAGAAUGCCUGCAUCUUGAUUAAGGCCUUUGCUUCCUUGCUUAGAAUAAAGGGAACAAAGUUUCUUAACUCCAUGAGAAACAAUAUUUCCUUCAACAAAUAUAACAUUUUCUUGGCCGUUGUCAACUUGAUCGUGAAUCUCUGAAGAUGCAGUGGAUACGCAGAUUCCCAUUUCUCAAAAUGGUGUAAUUUUUUUUUUUUUCUUUCUUACCCUCUCCACUUGAACUCGUAAAACUAAUAUGACUGAAAAUAGUCUUCUGCAACAUGGAUUUUAAGGACAAAAAGAAAGCGCAUGUUAGCAAAGAUAAUAAUUGUAAAUAUAAAAAUGUGUGAGUGGCUCCCAACGAGCUGAAAGCACACUCUUUGUUCAAUAAUAAUAUAUAGAUUCAUUGGUUUUUUAAUGUUCGUGCAUUAUUUUAGUGUUAAGACUGCCCCAAGAUUCACUUAAAGAGGCAAAUGAGGUGUUCCCUACUCAUAAGUUUAGACUAGAGUAGUAUCUUAAAAUCACUUCUACUGAGCCGGCUCUAGCUUUACGCGUGCACCGAAUUGCUUACUUUUUCCUCGUGCAAACUUCAUAUUUCUCAGUAAAAGUGUUGGCAUUCUGGGACAUCUGGUUAGUUAUUAACUGAUUUGAUGUAAUGCUGCUGCAUCAAACACAACUCACAUCUAGUUAGUUAUUAACUGAUUUGUUAUGUUGGAGAUGCUUUAAGUUCACGAAUGCAUUGAAUCUAUAAAGAUAAAAUGAGUAUUUUUUGUUUCAACUUUAGAUUCAAUGACUGCAAUGGAUGCUUUAAGUUAGAGCAUAACCAACAUAGCUGAACUCAUAUUAUUAUUGUUAUUUUAUAUUAUUUAAUUUAUUUUUAUUGUGUAGUCUGCUACUAACCCAACAAUCACAUAAGAUAUUUUCUUUCUAAUUAAGUUAAAAUUAAAUUAUAAAUUUGCUCCUAUUGCACCAAGUAAAUACAUUAAACUUUGAUUUUAAAAUACAUUAACAUAAUUUAAAUUCAAAAUUUAUAUUAAAAAUUACUUAAAUAUUCACACAGAUAUGUCGACAGUAAAUUAUACAUGUAGAUAUAAUUUUCUAAAUACGUGACCGAUAUCAAUCAUGUUUUAGCAAAUAGCACAAGAUAUUAGAUGGCUUUAUCAUGCAAAAUGUAAAAUUGAUUUUUGGUCGCUUCCAAAUAUUAAAAGCAAGAAGAGUCUAAGCUACUAGGCUAAAGCCUAGUGGUUAGAAAACGUAACCUCACAAUUGUGAGGUCAUGAAUUAUAAGGGUUUAAUUUUUUUUUUCAAUUUGAGUGAAAAUAAUUUUCUUCUUUUCGAAACGUGAGUUGAGUAUACGUUCCUUGAAUAUUAGAGAGGGUAAAAAUUUGGACGGUGCUUUAUAAUAAUUGAUGUAAAUUAGUCUCAGUAGUAGUCUAAUUUAUAAAUAUCAGUUGUAAUCUUAUGUAAUAGGAAUUGUACUAUUGAGCAAUAAUCACAUGUAAUUAAAAAAAAAAAAAGCAACAAGAGUCGUGGGAGCACAUUUUUGGAUAAAUUAAAGUAGAUUUGAUCCUAGGCCAUUGGAAUCCGUUGAGUUUGGUAAAUCUAUCAAAAGAGAUUAUAUUAAUAUAGUUCUUUUCCCCCGAAAAUAAAGAGAUUAUAUAUAAUUGGUGACCACUAAAAAGAAUACUUUAAGCAAUUAAAUAUAUGAUCUAGGCGUAUAGGUUGUAAUUAUGGUUUAUAAUAAUUAACGCAAGCGUGCGCAAAUUAGCAGGACCGAAGCACACUGUUAUUUAUGGGUGAGCAAAAUUAGUAUAUAUAUCUUUCAUAUACAGAUGAGAUUUGAUCAGAUGAUCCUGACCAUUUAAAUUGUGGAAUUUUUUUUUUUCACAAGUUGGGUCCUCAUCACGAUUCCGUUGACUUUGUUCUCAAAUAAAUUAUUUAGAUGGAUUGUUAAGGAGGGGGUCGAUUCCCAAUCUUGUGGGUAUUUGAUUCUUCCCGAUCGAGCCAUUGGCCCAAAAAACAAACCCUGCAUGAUUCGAGCAAGUGGUAUAUAAAGUUAGAUUAUUACAAAAAAAAAAUUAGUCAGAUAAGUUUGAUUAAUUUCUUAUUUAAAGUGAAAAAACUUUAGCCACGAAGGAAAGGGCAAGAGUGUUGAACUUUCGAAUUUAAUAUAAUUGAAAGAUUUUAUAUUAUAAUCUUGUUAUGAGUUGAUAAUGGAUUCAAUCAAAAUUGAAUGCGUUUUAAGAAGUAUUUGCUCUUAUCAAUAUCAUCAAAACUUUCUCAGCACCCACCUGGCUUGUAAUGUUAUACGAAUAUUGCCGACCUUUACAAGAUAUUUUAAUCAAUUGAUAUCUUAUAAUUUUUCAAAGGAAUUAAUGCAUAUUUAAAUGAAUGUGAAUGGAGAAAUUUCAAGCAAUUUGGUUGAAGAGAUAUGUUGCCAACUUGUAUGGCUUUUGGUCAGCAAGGGAACCAUUGACUAUGCAAUUAACGAUUCUUAGAUUUUUAUUCUUCUAAAUUAAAUUUCUUUGAAUCUGCCCGAUUCUUUUUCUUUAGUAUCAAUUAUUGAUCCCAUGGAUAUUGAUAUUGAUAACAAUAAAAACACAUACAGUUUGUAAGAAUGAGAAAAGAAAAGAACCCUGAGCCCUUCAAAGCAUGAGUCUGAUGGGGAUUGGGGGAGGUUCCAAAUGAUUGGAACUUUGGAUAACAGUGAAAUUUAUUAUGAAUUGAACUUCACCCAGAAAUGUUAUUUUUUAUUUGUUUAGAGGUUCAUUCCGUUCUCUCUCUCUCUCUCUCUCUCUUUUUCCCUGUUUGUGUACAGGUUCUUUAAGUUAUUGAUCAAUCUUCAAUUCAAAGUGAAAAUUACCAACAAUCUCGCCAAUCAGUUCAUUAUGCCUUCAAUUAAUUUGAUUGUGCAUGUGACGUACUAGACCGAAUUAUAGACCCAAUCUUUCUUUAACAUGUCUUUUGAAGUGCGGUGGCCUCAGUUGCUCUCUGAAUCUCACCACAUGCCAAUGAAACCUUGCAAAUUCCCAAAGAGCUGCUCUUGCUAUGGCUUUUAUCAGUGCACUCAAAGCACAAUCAUGGUGCUUUGUGUCGGACAAACAAUUGUUUGACAGUAUAGAAAUGCCUAUUGUUAGUGGUAAUUAACACAUAUGUUGCCGUCAGACUUCAUGGUAGGUGAGAGAUUAAAAUAUUGAGUUGACAUAAUUUGGAUGGCUGUUGGUACUGCUAGAAGCCAUUGACUAUUAUUGUUCUUAUUUUUCUAAAACUUCUUUGGAUCUACAGGAUUCCUUUUCUUUAUGAGGAUAAGUUAUCCCACGUAUUAUAAUAUUCAUACAAUAAAUCGCAUUGUUACAUUUGCCAGAACAAGAAAAGAUGGCCUCACAGGCAAGAAUCUAUGAAGAGCCGACUCAAAGUUUAUCCAGAAUCAGGUGGACAGUGUCUAUGGCAUGUGCUUGGUGAGGACCAGAUGAUUAUGAUGAUGACAAGGAUCAUCACAAUCCUAAUCUCUGUCAUCCUUCAGACCUAUUUCUAUAAUCACACUUCAAUAAACAAAUUUAUUUAAUCCCAAUACAAUGAACUUCAACAAUUCAAUUCACAUGCUUCUAUUCCCGUACACUUCACUCAUGUUCCUGGUGGUUUGGAAUGAGUAUUCAACCUUACUUCAAUAAUAGCAACUUCAUCUAGAUUGGUUUUCUUUUCUAAUUGCUUAAAAGUUUCUAUCACAUUAUAAGCAUAAUACUUAUCCAAUGAAACCAACAAUAAGCUCAGAAAACGAGACAAGCACUUGUCCAGUCCACAAGACUUCACAAUAAACGGCAAGGUUGCAAUGUGUUGUAACGGGAAAAUUAAGAAAAAAAAAUCCAAAAUCUGAUACUGAACAUUUCAUAUUCAAUAAUCCAUUCAGUCUCAUGAAGGAUACACAAUUUGUACAAGAAAGAUGGGAGAAGGCCAAAGAGGGUAAACAUUUUUAUGCAAUAAGUAAUACACCACCUAAAAGCAUAAAAGCGAAAGCAGAACUGAUUGCUCAGAGGCAAAAUGAACUAACCAAUCAGGUUGUUGAUUUUUUCACUGGCUGGAUGUUACAGGAACAGUAUCUUCACCAUUUGUUGUGUCAGCUGCAGGUGACUUCUUUACAAGAGACUUGGGUAUGUCAACAUCAUCCUGCACACACCGUUGUUGGGGAUGUGAUAACAGCACACACAUUUGCCGGAAGAGGAUACGAGCUAACCCCUGCCCGCUCUCAAAGAUGUAGCCCUCAUUCUCGGAGACGUGUUCAAGGGCAUCAACAAGAGCAUCAUAGACCUUCUGGGGGCAAUUGUCAGGUCCAGGCUUGUCAUGAAGGUACAAUACAUCCAUAGUGAAGAGUUUCUGGUUCACAGGCCAUUGAUGUUGUGGUCUUGCAGAUGAUCUGCAGUAUAUAAGAAUCUACAUAGAGCAGAAUAUCAGAUCUCAUGUUGCGUUGCAGUUCACAACUUCAUAACUUCUUAUUAUGACCUCAAUCCAGAAUGAAGCUGAAACAAGAUGGAAAUGCUUUGAUGAAAUUAAAAAAAAAAAAAAAAGCUUCAAAUACUUGUCAAAACUCUGGAAGUGCCAGUAAAUUUAACAAAGAGAUUAUAUGAUUUUUGUGAAGAUGCAGCAAGUUGUAGUAAUCACACUGAUUGACUAUUUAACUAAUAGCAAAUUUAAAUAAGACAACAAGAUAAACGGACAAAACAUUUUGUAUAUUCAGCUAGAAAAUGCAUAAGCACAUGUUAAGCAGAGUGAGAUGAACUGACUAAAUCUUACCACACGGAGAAUCCGGUUCUGUGCACGAGAUUUCUUUGCUUCAUGAGAUGCUAACUUGAAGAGAUGGGUGAGAUCUGCCUGACCACAGGCAGAAGUAGCUGAAAUCCCCCGGACUGCAGUCAAAGUAGACUCUAUGUCACUGCUGAACUCUUUCCGAAGCUACAACAUAUCAAACACACAUCAAGUUCUUAAUUUCAACAAAAGAGCAAAAGAAUUGACAAUGACUCAUGCAACAUUUUGUUCACAUUAAAAUCGCUCGCAUAAAUAUACAAGUAGUGCUACUCUUACAAAGUUUGUAUACAGACUACGUAUUCCAACUUGAGUUACAAGCAAUAUGUUCGUAAAUUUGUAAUAGAAUUACGUGCUUCAGUUGCAAUGAUUUGGAAAUACAUUAACUGCAUUGAAGAAAAUUCUUUACUUUAUUCUCAAAUUUGACUAUUUCUUUUUUCAAUUAAUCACAAGAAUAGCAGGACCCACGGAUGUACGACACGUCGUUCAGAAUUUCAACUGAAAAAUGAAAAGGGGAAAAAAAGAGAGUACCCAGGAAGCGGUUUUGGCGAGAGUGACAAAAGCGAAACGGUGAUCGGGGUUGAUAGAGAGCUUGGAGUUAACGAAGAGGAGGAUCGCUUGCUUCAUAGCAUCCAGUCUGGUGAUUGGUUUCCCAUUGAAGCCAGUUGAUUUCAUUUCCACUAGCGAUUCGGCGUCCACAUCUACACAAAAUAUUAUGUCUUCGUUGCUUAUGCGCAUUGGCGGCAACGUUAAUCGCCCUGCUCCUGAGCUUUCUCCCUCUAUUCCCUCCAUCGAUUUCUCUUCUACAGACACAGUGAUGAUUCAGCUUCGUUGGAGACGCAGAUAGCGCACACGCUGCGUUGAAUCCGCAUGAAUUGCUGCAUCAGAAACUAGAAACGACGUCGUGGCACAAAAAGACUACAACAAUACGGCACCGUUUUAGUUUUCAAAAUGGAAAAAAUAUAGUGCGACGAAAAUACCCUUGAUAUUAUUAGAAAGAAGAGGAGUUUUGUUCCCUUUGUGUUCCGGGGUAUUUUAGUCAUAUCAGAUUAACUCGUGGUUGUAGGCUGUGGCUCGCACAUAGUCGUGUGUGUUGUGGCGGUAACCGGGUUUAGAGGCGGAAGGGGAUGGCGUGUUUGCACGAUCAUAGCUGUGAAGAUCACGAUUGCUCUUCUGAUUGGUCUCUCUACAAACAUAUAGAUCUUUCCAAGGUUAAUUUCUAUCUUUUCACACUCGAUAUAUAUGAAAUAGCCGGAGAAAUAAAUGUGUAAAAGGCGUGGUUGCUUGAUAAACUGCAUUUGUGUUCACUUUUCCUGUUAUUUGUUUGUAUUUUGGGGGUCAGUCAGGUUUGGUUAAAAUUUUGGAUGACGCGGUGCGCAUGCUGUGGUUUUGUGUAAUUAUAUGGAUUCUCGCAUCUUUGUAUGCCAGUUGCAUGAUAAAAUGAGAAAGGGAUCAUUUGGAAAUUGUAGUUGUGAUUUGCUUUAUGGGUAAGCAGGAUAGAGCUUGAAUUCGAUAGAAUUUGGCUGUGUAGAACUUUUUCCACUUUAAGACUCCCCCUGUGCUGUCAAAUUGGCUCUGCCCUUAGUUCUCAUUACCCUUUGCCCAGGUGAAAAAACAUUAGUGAUAGGCCGGGUUAUGGUCCUUUACAGGUCCAGAGUGAAGGGCUGCUUCAUUUGAAUGGAUGCCCCGUUUGCUUUGUGACAGGAAGCUACUUCCUUCUGAGCUGUUGUUGGUUUAUAUUUUCUUUUUUCAGUUCAUUUCAUUUUAUUGCUUUCACUGAUUUUUCCGUUUCUUUUGUACUGGAUGGCCUUUCUAGGUGUCUGCAUUAAAUGAGGCUGUUCCAGGGAGUGUCAAGUCAGUUUUCAAAGCAUGGGAGCAGCGUCUGAAUUCUUCUGGGGUAAUUCAUGCAUUUGUAUACUCUUUUGUAGUUCAUUUUUUAUCUAGACAUUGGCAUGUUUCCAAGAAGCGUGUCUCAUCUGUGGAUGUGUACUCUCAGGUGAAUGUGCCUGUAUGUGAUUGAAAAAAUAUUUCUUGCUGCACAGAAUCUAUUUCCAACUUUUAAGUAUGUUAUAAAUGUUCAAUCAUUGAAUCAUUCAUCGAAGGUUUGGUUGACCUCCUAAAAGUCCUCAUCCUUGCACCAUAGCCAUAUACUUUUGUACUUGAAAUCUAGUUCUAUGUCUCCAUUUUGAAUUAAAAUUACAUUGAUUGACUUCUACAUGUAGUAUUGAUUUGCUUUCGAUUUAUUGGCGUGACUUUUUCACAUUACAGCUAGGUAAACAUUUCUGUUAAGGUGGUUGAUUAUGCCUGGUUAUCUUUUGAAGUUCUACUGAGGAUGCAAGAUUUUUGAAGAUGUGCCUCAAAUAUGCUGCAAAAAGCUGUUUUACUGACCACUGGAAGUUGAUUUCUGUUAAUUGAUUCCUUUUACCCUUGGUGUCAUUCUACUGAGAUUGGGUUUCACUUGCAAACAAGUGUAUGCAUCACUUGUAGGCCUCUCUUGUGAAAGUACUGUUAAUAUUGCAACCUGUGCUUAGGAUAACUACCCUGAUUAAGCACACUUGAUUAGGUUCUUCUGAAAUGAUGAGAAAGCUUCAAAUAAAAAGAUUUGAAUGCAAAGCAAAAUAAAUUUGGUCAUGAUACACAUUACUUCUUGUUACUCAUAUGAGUAGUGCUCUUUGAUUAAUAUCUAUUUCAAACCGGAAAACCACUGAGGUAUAGCCUUCUUUUGAUUAUUGUGCGAUUUGUUUCACUUAUUUAUCAGCCUUGUUAUUAUUCUACUUUGCAAUUUUAUGAAUACACAAAUUAAUAUCUUGCCAGUUUCUAACCUAGAACUGGAAAUUACAUCUGAAAGAAAAAAGACGCUUACCCUGUUAGAAAAGUUACUAUAGAAUCUGCAAGCAAGCCAAGUUGAUCAAGAUGAUGUUUUGGGGGAAAUAUCAAUAUUUAGCAUGCUAUAUUUUGCUUAUGAUGUAUCGAAACAAGUCUUUCAUUACAUGCCUUCUUAAAGCUCAUGUGAUCCUCAUUGUGGACCCAGGAACAUUUGGAAAGCAAUGAUGGUGAUCCAGAGUUACUUGUUUAUAUUCCGUAAGUGGCUACCUUUUGCUCUAAGAAUAAACAGUAGCUGGGAUCUCAAGGUUCAGAGAAAUAGACAUUAAUUUUCAUUACACUCAUGUCCCCAGCUGUAUUUAAUUUUGUAUUUUUUCAUAUCCCAAGUGGCUUUGUUCUUUCUAAACCCCUUUAUAUCCCACCAAUCUAUAUGUCUAAUUCUAAUUUGUAUGAUAUUGAUGUUAAAAUGAGCAAUAUUUUGAAAUUUACUAAUUUCAUAAAUAAGCUUGAUGGAAUGAAAUGAAAUUUAUGAUUAAAAUACUAAGGACUUCUGUUAUCUUUAUUCAUACUUUUUCUCAUUUAGUGGAACGAUAAUGUCUCUUACUAGGAACAAUCAGAGACCAUCUUGAGUCUAAAAGAUAAUAUUUGCUCAACUUUGUAUACAAAGUCAAAAUUUGAUGUCCGCAUUUCUGCACCUAUAAUUCUUAUGCAUAAAUUUUUUCUUAAAACCAAUCUAUUUUUUCUUCAUAGUAAGAUGCUCUCGAAAUUAUUGUUUCAUAUUGUUCUUUCUUAAGAACAUGUUUCCCUAAAGAUUUCUUCUGUUCUAAAAGUGCUCAUUGAGAAUCCUUCUUCCACUUGAUUUUGAUAGAUUUACUACAGAUGUUAAGAUCAAGAGCAUUUCAAUUGUUGGUGGUGCUGAUGGAACAAGUCCUUCGAAGAUGAGAGUGUGAGUUUGAACUUGUGAAUUUUAUGUAUGCUGUCAUAAUGCUUCAUCAAUUGUUAGAUGUAAUACUAUCCAAUUUAGAAAGAAACUCAAAUAGCUUUUUUUUCUCAUCGUAGUAAGUGGAAGGGAUCAAAUGAUCUUAGAAAUAUAAAUUUUAGAUGGAAUGUUCAUUGGCUUAUCAUAAAAUUCUCAGUCCAGUUUUUUUUUUUGUGGUUUUGUGUGUGUGUGUGUUUCUAGUCUGGGUUAGGAUUAGAUGAUUAGCGGAUUGAGCGAAAAAUGCUCAAUCUUAGUCCCUCGUUGCCAUUACUCAAAUAUUAAAUUUGUUUUUAUUUCUCUACCUUUUAUAUUUCUUAAAAGAAGAAGUGGUGUCCUGAGUUUUUUUUUCUUUUUUUAAUAGGUUCAUCAAUCGAGAGGGUAUUGACUUCUCAGAUGCUCAAGAUAUGCAAGCUAUUCAGGUAUGCCUCAUGUUGGCUUAUCAUUGCAUUUUUAGCAAAUUCUUCAUUUCAACUCAUCUGACACAUUUGUACCAUUUGUUCCAAGGAAUGGGAUUUGGUUGAGAAUUUGCAAGGAGUGUUAGAAUACCAAACAAGGUAAUUAUUGAUUACUACUCAGUUUUGUUGACAUGCAAUAGAGGCUUUGUUUGCAAACACUUCAUAUCCAUACUUUCAUGAUGAGCAAUUGAUGCGACCAGGCAUAAUCUACUGAAUUUGGGUGCUUCCCAUUUAUUAGCAACUUACCAUUGUUUGGUUGAUGUUGUAUUGUAUUUCCACCAAAAAAAAAAAAUCAUCUGUUACGAACUGUUUUUAAUGUCAUAUUAAUGCAUACUUUAGGUAUUCCAAAUUUCAAAGUGUGGCCAAUAUCACAUUACACUUCCCUGACAAUUUUGGUGGUGACACAACUCAGAUACACUACAUUGGCCUAAAAGGGGAAGCCACCCAGGUAAUUUAUUGGCUGAGAUCAAAUUUUAUGAAUUUGUUAUUGUCUUUGUUUUAAUAAUUUUUUUUUUUCCUUGUUCUAAUCUGUGAAAUGUUUGUGCUUCCAACUAAUACCUUCCUGCACCUCUAACACCCAUUUGGUUUGUUUUUGGUCUAUUGAGUAACAGUUGAAGAGGGACGUCGUGGCAACAAUUGUUUAUGAGCUGAGGCCGAAUCCCUCCGACCACAAGUAAGUUUUGGUUAUCCUUGUAGGAAUAGUUUCAUAGAUAGUGGGGUUUUUGAACUUAUUUAUCAAUCUCACCAUUGUAGAAGGAAAUGAUGCUCAAAAUUUAUUCUAUUGUUAUAUAUUAUAAUUUCAUUCUGUGUGGCAUUUGCACAAUUAUUAAAUGUCCAUCAUUUCAAGUCUGAUUGUGAAGUUCAAUCCUGUUAUGUUUUAUAUGCUACUACAUAGUUUCUUGUAUUUAUCGGAACUGAUGGCUUGUGCAGAACAAAGUCUGAAAGCGGCGGUGGUCUUUCGCAUGUGGAGUGAACAAUUUCAUGUUCUCUAUCAAGGUUUAUCACUUUAAUGUACUUCCAAAUUCUGAUAAUAGAAGAACUAUACAAGCUUCAAGAAUUGUUGCCAAACUGCUUUCUUUCUGGGUGGCAUUACUUAGUGUUGCAACCAGCUAAUGUGAUGCUUGUAAAUUCAUAAUUAUUGGUUUUCUAGUCUUUCGUACAAAUUCAUUAUCAUCUGUUGUGAGUUAUGUGUAAAACCUCCCAUUAAUAUUCUGGGUUCAGUUCAGCAUUCCUAAUGACUUGAAGAGUACAUACCCCACCACGGCGAAUAGAUUUUAUCUGACGCUGUUUAAAUAAAUAUGAAUGAAUUAGGCGAGAAAUCCGUCCAAGACUGAACAAUCAUUCUAAUGGUGUUUAUUUAUCCUAAUUUUUUUUUUUAUAAUUUUAUACUUUUGCACCCUCUUUGAAUUUGGUUCAUUCUUUUUCUCUGUGGGAAUAAAAUCCUAUACUCAAAAGUCCCUUUUAUAAUUUUAUCUCUUUUGAGGUCCACUAUUUCAACAGUUUUGAUUGUACAAGUAACGAACUUUAUAAUUCUUUUUUCGCUUGUUUGUAUUUACAAAUACUCAUUAAUGGUCAUCAAUUUUUUUGUUGUUGUAAUGUUGAAGAUUCUAAUAGUUAAAUUUUAAUUAAAUGUAAUUUUCAUUUAUUAAAUGAUAAAAUAAAAUAAUAAAUAAUUUUAUAUAUAACAUUCAAUUCCAAUGUUAAUCUUAUAAUAAAUAAUUUUAUAUAUAACAUUCAAUUCCAAUGUUAAUCUUAUAUCCUUUUUAAAUCCAAUAGCCAAUAGCCAAAUCAUUGGGUGUUUCUCAGUCGUCUUUCCCACUUUGACAUCUAAAUCUAUGCUAUCCAGUGAAUUUUGACGUUGCAUUUCUUUAACAAUUUAUAUUACAUCAAAUAUUUUACAACUAUUAACAACUGUUAUUCCAGAAGAUAAUUAAUGAAUUAUUGAUAUUUACAAUGAGAUAAAUAAUUAAAACUACAAUUUUAUAUUAAAUUCUAUAAAAUUCUUGCUUGCUCACAGACAAAUAACCCUCAUAAAUAUUCGCAUACGACUUCAAAUUGGGUAGUCUGCAAAACUCAUCGUACUUCAUGAUCUUUUUUUCUUUUUUGAACAGACAAAUACUUGUAUAUUAUAUUUGUUUAUUCAAAUUCCCUAAACCUAACUUGAACCGAAUCUACGUGUUAACUUACUCUCUUUUAAUCCAGCCAAAACCCCUCAUUACAAAAUUUGCGCAAGCCAAGGGGAAAUUGAUUUUUAAAUGUUAAAACGAUGAGUUCGGAAAAUAGUUUUUUUUUUGGGACAGGCGACAGCAGAGCCGUUCACGUUUCUCGGGAGAGACAGAGGUUUAGCCAAUUGUAUGCAUCGGAAAUUAGUGAAAACCAAGGAGAAGGAGAGGCAGUUCAAUAGCCUUGAGCUUAUUGCAUUGAAAAUUUUACAUCCCGAGCUGUGAUGGGAGGCAGCCGGUUCAUGCCUCAUAGACAAAUAUUCUGAAGGACUGCCUGGUAAAAGGUAAACUCUCUUCGUUUCAGGAUAUUUCACCUUUUUUUUUUUACUUUCACAUUUUCUUUUCACGCAAUUUUACAUGGACGAAAUAAACCUUUUUUUUUUCCCUUAACCUCAGAUACUAUAGUGGUAACGAGUACAUUGAUGAGCUUGAAACCCUUUGUCAGAAAGGAGCUUUGGCAGCAUAAUUUUGAAGUUUAUACUGUAAUUCUUAAUCCUCAUGAUCGAAUAACGGUUAGUUGUUGAUAAGAUUUCAUCUUUUUUUAUUUCUGAUUGAACUCCUGAUCCAGAACACUUCAGAUCCAUAAUAUGUUACUGUAAUUUUCCUAAAAGACGGUUGUCUUUGACUAUUUCAUUGGGUCACUCGGUUGUGUUUCUGUUUCAGUUUUAUGCAAGGACAUGCUCGAGAAAACGGCUAUUCUCCUUGGACCAGAACUCAUAAUAGCUGGUGCCAACGCAUUUCUUUGACUAUCCUCGCAUGAGGCAGGUAAGGAUUUACUGCUAGCUCUGCCUUACAAUUUUUUCUGGGUAUAUCAUUGGCGGCUAGCCACUAAGCAUCCACUGCUUGAUUAGAUUGCAGAUGCUGUUGGUGCUUCAUAGAUUGCAGAGGCUGCUGAUGCUUUUCUCGUCAUGGAUAUGGCUCACAUAAAUAGGCUUGUUGCUGCCUCUGUUGUUACUGACCCCUUCGAGUACCGUGGUUACAUCAACAGUAGACAAGUAAUGGGUUUACCAUUUGAAAUAAUCAUGUACUUAUAAAUAUUUUCAUAUUCAUAAGUCUUCUUCCCCCUCUACCACAGUAUAUAUGGUUUCUGUGCAGCCUUUGAGAGGUCCAAGUGGUGGCGUGACCUUUGUCAAGAAAGAUCCUGUCGUCGAAGUGGAACUGCAUUGCCUAAAAAUGCUGUUUUUCCAGUUUUAAAGGUUGGAUUUGUUAGUUGUUACCAAAGGAAAAGUACUGCUUGUGGAAUGGUUACAAAUUUUAAACCAUUCAUCAGUUUCCUUCUUAGCAAACACCAUAAUCCAAUCACUUGGUAGCUAUUACUGUCAUAAAUUGUCUACACCAUGCUCUGGUUGAUUCACUUAUGAAAAUGUUCACUUGGUAGCUCCUACUAACAUAAACUGCCGCACAUUAUGCCGUGCUUGAAUCAAUUAUGAAGAUAGUUUCUUCGGAGGAGAGUUUAUUUUAUGCGUUGAGAAAUUCAUACUCAAAAACAUAAAAACUUUUUAACACAUGAUCGGGACGGUCGUACCUGUAUAAGCUUAUGACUUCACAUGAUUGUGUGACAUUCAUAGGAACAUAAACUACAUCACAUGACGGGCUGUUAUCCGUAUUAAAAUUCUUACUCAAAUGUAAAAACUUCAACACAUGAUCGGGACAAUCGUACCUAUAUCAGCUUAAAGCUUCACAUGAUUAUGCGACAUUCAUAGAAACAUAAUCUACAUCACAACAGGCUGUUAUCCUCCAAUUGAACAGCCAACACAAUACAACCACAUAAAAGAGGAUUAGUGGGAAUAAUACGAUCACCUCAAGCAGAAGUCCUGUCCACUAUUACUCUCAAACACUACAAAAACAAUGGUUGGUAAGAAAUCCACAUAUGGCAUCAAAUAAAAAAAAUCAAUGGCAAAUUGGACUUGAGUUUGGGAGAGAACCCAAACGCCUACGUACUCUAUCAAAAUAGAGAUCAAAGUCCUCGUAGUUCAAAUAAAGAAUGAAGAGAAUCUUAGUCAUCAAAAUUAUUAAAAAAAAAAAACACCACAGAAAAGUUUACAAACUACUAUUUCACAUUCAUUAUUCAUAUAGGCAUGUAUAGAAGACUGAAACCCAAAAAAAAAAAACACUAGAAAAUGCACAAUACAACCUCGAGCAGCACAAACACCCGUUUGUCAAGUGACAAACGCAUUUGCAGCUCAUCUGCAGCUCAUCUGCACUGACACACUUUAGUCAAGCUGUUAGAAUAACCAACAAUGAAGAAACUCCAGAAUCAUUCAGUGACCAGAAAAGAAUAGAAGUCUUCACAAUUGCAAGCUUUAAGAAAGCACAAAAAAGGAUUUUGAAAGCAUCAUUCAGUAGCUUAUUGAUUUGGGAAAGAAGCAAACCAGGAACAGUAACAUUCCCAUCUACAGAACAGGCGCAAAGUAUUUAUCUCUACUGCAACAGAAGUUAGCAAAAAUGAAAGAUCAAACCAUAAUUAAACCUAAAAUAUCCAAAUAGACAUAGAAGGAUGCAGGAAACUGGGAGAAAGAGUAGAAAACUCAUCCCCUGAGAUCACAUAAUACCAAUAUUCCAAAAGAAGCCACAAUGUUCUCUCACUGAAGCAGAAAACAGCAGCUGAACUCGCAUAUUCAAUUAAGCAUGGAUAGAAGCCAGAAAUCAGGAGAAAGAACAAGAGAUGUCAACAUUUCCCUAUCACUUCAACAUAAAUUUGCAAAAAAGAAAGAACAGAGUACAGAGUGCACAUUUUGCAAGCAAAAGCAAUAAAUAGGAAAAAAAAAAACCCCUUCCUGAGUUGUAGUUCCCACUCUUCCUCAUAGAUAUCCAAAUGUGCUCCAUCACAUCAACAUAAAGGAGUAGUGGUAGAGCCCCACUAUUCUUCAAAACAUACAAAUGUAAGUCUGCAAAAUAAAUUUGCAGAAGUGGAAGAGAGUAAUAAUAGUUUGAAGUUUUAAGAAGCACAAGGCAACAAGCAACUGAAAGGGAACUGAAAAACUCAAUUGACACCCCCUACUCCCAAAAUUCUUCAAAGCCUUUCUCUGAAACAGCAGCACUAAAAUUUGAAAAAUAAAACAAUGAAUCAUUCGGAUUAAGAAUAGAUAGAAGCAAGAAACUAGAAGAGGCUAGUAUGGAUUAGCCUCAAUACUCCUCAAAAUUCAGAUCACAUUGCCAUCAACAAAUUUGAUAAAAAUAAAAUAACAAAAUCAUAACUUGAAUUUGAGAGUCACAUAAGAAGAGAGAACAGAAAUAAACUAAAACAAUGACUAGAACCGCAAACCAAGCGCCUUUAAUAUUCCUCAAAAACUUGGAACAUUCUGCCAUCACUGCCACCUAAAUUUGCAAAAAUGGAAAAAUCUUAAUACAUAUUCCCAUCUAGAAGUGACAAACUAGGAAGAAUAAGAGCCAGAAACAAACUCAAAUAAACCCCCUGAUUGCACAGUAGUCCCAACAUUCUUCAAAAUCUCGUUAUCAUAUCACUGUAAGUCUGCAACAGAAAUUUUGCAAAAAUGAAAGACCUAAAAACAAUUUGAACCUCAGUACAUCCAGAUAGAUGCAAGCAUAAACUAGAUCAAAAAAUAGUGUCAUCAGAAACCCCCUGGGUAGCGGACAACCCUAAUAUUCCACCAAAACUUGGAACUACGUAGAAGAGCAACUCACGAGAAGCCCAUAUUAGCAUGAUCGGUAUUCCUAAAAAACAUAGAAAUACUUAAAAUCACUGCCAAUACAUUUGCAGAAGUGGUAAAACAUGAUAAUUUGAAAUUCUCAUAUCCAGAUAUCUAUAAAUAGAAGAAAUUAACAAGAAGACACCUGCUCUGUAGCAUAGUCCUAAAACACCUCAAUGAACACUGCACAUUUCUGUGAAACUGCAGUAAAAAAUUUGCAAAAAUUAUGCAGGCUGACAUACAACCUAAACUAUUUAGAUAGGCAUAAAUGGAAUGGAGGAAUUAGUAAAAAGAAUUAAAGUCAUCAGACAUCCCCUGACCACCACUCAAAAACACCUUGCAUCGCUUCUCAAGAAAUUUACAAAAAAAGGAAAGACAAUUCUAAAAUGAAUUGUUAAAAAAGUAUCCAGUUAGGCAGAUACAGAAGAAAUGAACCAAGAAAAGGACUGAAAAACAUGAUAGAAAAUCCACCGAGUAAAUCAUCCAACACUCCUUGAAAUGUAGGUCCAUUUCUGUAACAGGGGAACCUAAACUUUGCAAAAAACAACCAUCAUCUGCUGUAUGUUUGCAUAGAUAUAAGUGAAAAACUGAAAAAGAUAAAAACUUUUUACAGAAGCCUGAGUAGCAAAGUCCCAAUAUUCCACAAAAGCUUGCUACAUUUUGCAAUGCUGCAACAAAAAUUUUGCAAAAAUAAAAGAUCAAAAUAUGUUCUAAGCAUUCAUAUCUGCAUAAAUUUAAAGCCAAAAAACGAGGAGAAACAAUAACAAGAACCAUCAAAAAACCCCAAGCAGCAGAUAAUCCCGAAAUACCUCAAAACAUUCACCAUCACUGCAAUAUAAAUUUGCAAAAAUGGAAGACUACAAAUAUGAAAGACAAAAUUACAAAUUGAACCUCAUGAAGAAAUGAAAGAUAGUCUGAGACACCAAUAAUAAAUUAGUGAAGGAAGGAAAACCCAUUGGUCACUACAAGCAGCAUAGUCCCACUAUUCCUUGAAGACACAGGAAUGAUAUCACUGCAACAUAUGUUUGCAGAAGAGAAAGAGAAAAUUUUAGUUAUGGAUUUCACACGUACAAGUUCCAAAGUUCCUCAAAAAAAUUGGCAACUCUGUAACACUGCAACACAAUUGUGCCAAAUAAAUGAUAAGAGAUAUAUUCUUCAAGUACUCAGGAUAAACAUAGACAGAAGUGAGAAACUAUAAGAGACAAAACACUCAUCGGGCACUCCUCAAUGUAUAGCCUCAAAUUCCUCAAAAGCUCAGUGCAUACUGCCAUCACUGCAACACAAUUUUCCAAAAUAGCAAGACAUAGGUAGUCAAUAUCUAGCCCCAAUGUAUCUUAAAUUUUAACAGAGUAAGAUAAGAAUAUAGAUAUAAUAAAUUAGACAAAAGACUAAAAGUCACGGAAGAUACCCCCACAUCAACAGUCCCAAUGUUCCUGAAAACUAAGUUCCUCAUACCUAUGCAACAAAAAAUUGUGAAGGAAUUAGGGGAAAAUUUUUAAAAGCCAUCAAACACCCCCUUAGAUGAUAGCUAACCCCAACACUCAAAAUUUGUAACAUUCAACCAUCACUGCUCCAAAAUUUUGCAACAGAUGGAAAACAUAAUUAAAAACUGGACUGUUAGAAUAGAACAAAUAAACUUAGGAAAGGACUAAAAAUCUGUCAGAAAAUCACCCAAGUAGAAUAGUCCUUAUACUCCUUGAAAACUUGGAACAUUUUUUCUCUCACUGCAACAAAAAAUGGCCAAACUAAAGGGGCACAAUGAAGGUAAAGUAUUCAAAGAUAAAGUGGUAAAAACUAAGUAAAUGUCUAAAAAAUGCUCCAUGAUACUUCUCAAAAAUUUGUUAAGAGAGAAAACAAACCAAAUACAAUCCUCUCUUACAGAUUACGAGUAGAAGUGAUAAGCUAGAAAAAGGUCAGAAAAAGCCCAUUAAAGACACAGCAGUAGCAGUCCCAAUACUCCUCAAAACACUGACCAUUUAAGUAACAUUGCAACAAAAAAAUUUGUAAAAUGGCAUUACCAAAGCACGAAUAUGUUCUCAAUGUUCAUAGACACCACGAGACAAAAGUCCUGGUAUUCCAUAAAAACUACAAACAUCAACCGAGCAACAUCAUUCUGAAGCAUCAUUCUCUGGAAUCAAACCAAAAAAAACAAAUGAGCACAGGGCUAACUAGCAACCAAGACAAGCUAAAAAGGGAAAACAAAGUCCAGGAGGUAUAGUACCAAUAGGCAAUAUCUGCCCAACAACACUCGGAAUUCCACCACACCAAAACUCUCUUUCAACUAGAGAAAAGGGGGGCAAUGGAACAGCUAUAACAAUUCUCUGUAACCAAACAAAUCAUAGAACGGAUCACAGGAUCAACCCAAAAACAGAGCGAUGCAUCAAAGAGAAAAAAAGGGGAAAAUAAGUACGCAAGAUAAGCGUGCCAGCAUUAUGAUCCCCACACGCGGACACCCUUCCAUGUAGAAUAUUUGCUAAAAAGUUCAACACACUGAAUAAUCUGAUGAUAGGGCAAAAUAUUGACAAACAUCAGAAGUAUAUUUACUUGGUAUAUGGAUAAUCCAUAAAGGCUCAAUAACUAGUGGUAGAAUGUUUCCCUUACACCCCCAUUUAUUGUUGCCAAAUAGUUGAUUCCAGCAGCUUCUUCAAAAGUGAUAAUCAACAAAUAGCAAGGAAUUUUGUGCCCUACAAACUUGCAGAAGCCUUGCUGUAGCCAAUCACAACCCGGAAGACAAACCACUCACUAUAUUGACCAUUGGCCAGAGUAUUUUCCAACAGAAACCUGAAGCAUAUAACCUCAUUGAAAUCAAACAAACAAGAUUCCAACACAAACCUGCAGGAUGUAAGCUCAUCAACAAAUUAAACAAAUAAGAUAACAAGCAAACCGCAAAACACCAACAAAACUCUUUAUUCGCAGAUGUCCACAAACAAUUCUCUACUGGCAAGCUGCAACAACAAUUUGGUAAAAUGACUGACCAAAUUACACUCUAAAGCAAGGCAUUGAGAAGCUAAAUCAUUUACUAGAAGCCCCUUGAAUAGCGUUCUGCAACACUUCUCAAAAACACGAAGAUGUACUCAUAAAUCCACAACACUCAAAAUUUCAAUCUAUUUAAAAACGAUCCACAAGCAAUUCAAACAUAUUCACCUCACUCCAACAGAGAUGCACAAAUGAAAGACCAAAAUAUGAGAUAAACCUCAUAGUAUUCAGGUAGCCACGUGGAAGCUAGAAGCUAGAAGCAAGAAGAAAGAAUUAGAGUCAUCAGAAGCCCCUGCAGUGGAGAGAAAGCCUUAAUACUCCAAAAAAACUGAACACACUUUGCCAUCGCUGCUCAAGAAAUUUGCAACAAACAUAGUUACACUUCAGAGCAUUCAGUUAGGCAGAGAUAAAAGAAACCAACUGGAAAAAUGACUGAACAACACAAUAGACAACUCCUCAAGUGAAAUGGUCACUUGAUUCUUCGAAAACUCGGAAAAUUCCUCAAUCAUAGAAGCUCCCUUUGCAGCAGUCCAGAUAUUCCUCAACUACUAAAUCCAUUUCUGAAACUCUGCAACAUUAAACAUUGCAAAAAAUGAAACAGCCAGAUUACAAUAUGCUCUAAAAUAUUCAUGAAUAGAAGUGAUUAAAAAAAGUUCGAAAAAAUUCAUUAGAUCAGCCCCUAGAACUGCAACAUAACACUUACAAAAAUCAAAUGACCAAAAUACAAUUGGGUUUUUCAUAGAUAAAUUUGUAGAUGCGAUCAGCUAAGAAAGGGACGAAUGACAUCCCCAAAUCCUACCCAAACCUUUGAAAAAGGGGGAAAAAACCCACAUCAUAGAAAAGAAGUUCACAAAAAUGAAAGCUGAACUUAUAGUAUUCAAACAGGCAUAGAUGGAAGCUACCUACAAGAAAGAACAAGGGAGUUGUCAGAAACUCCUAAGGUGGAGAGUUGGCAAGCUAAAACACUUAUUCAUCACUCUCAAGAAAUUUGCAAAAAAUGAAGACAGAGUUAAUACGAACCUCAAGGAUUCAGUUAGGUAAAGAUAGAAGAAUUAAACUGCAAAAAUUACUAAAAUAGGACAAUAGAAAACCCCCUGAGUAGAAUAGUCCUAGUAUUCUUUCAAAACUUGCUCCCAGCGUUACUUGGAACUUGGAAUGUUUCCCUAUUGCUGCCACAGAACAUUGCAAAACUGAAAAGAUUUGCUCAACAAUACGGACAGUAAACUAAGAAAAAGUCAUGAAUGCCACCUUCAUAACAGAGCCCAAAUGUUCCUCAGCUACCCAAACCAUUUCUAGAACACUGAAACGUAAAAAUUACAAAAAUGAAAUGGCCCGAAUACAAUCUGCACUGAAGUAUUCAUAGAUAAAAGUGAUAAACUAAGAGCAGGUUCCAAAGGAAAAAAAAAAAAACUCAUGAAACAUCACCCAGAUGCAGAGUCACGGUAUUCCUCAAAUACUCUUUAACACUGCCACACAAAAGUAUGCGUAAAUCAAAAGAUCAAAACGCAAUUUGAUUUUAAGUUUCAUAGAUAGAAGUGAUUAACUAAGGAAGGAUGGACAAAAACUCAUUAGACACCCUCAAGUAUUAGCAGAAUCCCAAUCUUCCACCGAAACCCAAAGAAUUUCCACAUCACUGCAACAGAAAUUGGCAAAAAUGAAAGACAAAAUUAUGAGCUGUAACUUUAUAGCACUCGAAUAGGAUGGAUGGAAGCGAGACAAGGAAAAACAAUAAAGAAGCCAUAAAAACCCCCUGCUGUAGUGAGAUAGCCCAGCAUAACCUGACUAGAAAUUUUCAAUAAGGAACUAAGAAGGGGUCAGAAAAGCUCUUUAACACAUCCCCAGAAUCCCAAUCUUCCAGAAAAACUCAAACCAUUUCCACAUCGCUGCAGCAUAUGCAAAAACGCAAGAUCAAAAUAUGAGCUGUACAUCAUAGUAUUCAGAAAGGCAAUUGUGGAAGCUAAAAAGGAGGAGAAAACAUAAAAGAGUCCUAAAAACCGGUUGAUAGAUAGCGCCAAUACUCCUCUAAAUCCAUGACCACUAUUUGCACGGUUGUACAUGCAAAAAAAAAAGGAGCAAAUAACAAGCCAGAAACCUCCAGAUUACUUGACAGUUCCAAGUUUAUUAAUCCAUGAAACUUAGAGCCCCAAUACUCCUCUAAAUGCACGACGACCAUUUGUACUGUUGUACACGCAGAAAAAGAAGCAAAUAAUGAGUCAGACACCUCCUGAUUAAUUGACAGUUCCAAGUUAAUUAACACAGGAGACUUAGAGCAGACACCCUACCGGUAUCUCAAACCUCCACUCUCCGCACAGGAAUUCAAGAUUCUGUAACCAAGAAUUGAAUGAAGAGAAAAGAAAAUUGAAGGCAAAACAACUCCAAUCCACAAUCUCAGCCUACAAUGACACCUUGUCACCAAUAAAUUAAAUGGAACCAUGAAAUUCCAAUUAUAUGAAUAUAUAAAGCUUCAUAAUAAUGAGCAAUAGAUCAAUUACCAAUGAGCGCUACACAAACCAACAAAUUGCCGCCUGCCUAUUUAUUGAACGGCACAAAUUUCAAGAUAAUAUCUUCGCCACCAACAGCAAAAAAAAAAAUAUGUACUAUAUACUCUGUUCGAUUCUCUGCAUAAUACUUCUCAAAAGCAUGAAUAAUCCGAGAUCUCAAUCUAUUUCACAAACCACCGACAAGCAAGUCAAGAAUCGAAUAUUAUAUAUAUCAUCUUUAUAAUAAAAUCCUAGCCCUCAAAAUUCCUCGACAAAUUAGUUAAGAAAGUCACCAAUCAAUCUCAGUUCAUUAAUCCAAGAAACAACAGCGGAUGCCCGAUCGGUAACGAACAGCACAGAUUCAAGAUCCUGUACCCAAUAAUUGAACAAAGAGAAGAGAAGCGAAACAACUUCGAUCCAAUACAUCAGUGCAUAAAAUAAAAAUACCUUCGCCUCCAAUAACUCAAAAACAGCCAAGAAAUUUCAAUCAAUUCGAAUAACAGCACUAAUAUUGCGCUAAAUUAAUUCCCGAUUAUCACACCGCACCCAACCCGUAGAAAAGAACAUAGACAAACACAGAGAACGCAGGGGCCAACGGUGCCCGACGCGGGGGGUAUAUUUAUAGUAUCGCUGGUCAAGAUCGACGGCUAUCGCUUAGCGGUGCAAGGAUGCAUCAACGAUCCAGAUUUAUUCCUUUUCGAUGUCGGUUUUAAUCACGUGCUGCUUAUAAGUUGUACUUCAAAGAAAGUGGCUUCACACGUAAGUCGUACACAUGACUUGCCGACAUAACUUAUCUUAAAUAAAUUAUUUUCUUUAUUAAAAAAAUUAUUUUCUAAGCACACACAGAUGCAUCCUCAAUUAAAAUUUAAAGCAUGAACCUCAUUGACAAUAAAUUAUGAUCUUGAAACUUACCAACUAAUGUUGAAUUUUUAUGUUUAUAGGACAACCUAGUAUUUAAUAUCUAGAUUACUAUUUUUACUCUAAUUCAAUGUGUAAACGCAAUAAUUUUAUUUUAUUCCAUAAGUACUUUGUUUAGUGUAACGCACUAAUAUUAGAUUGUAUUAAAAUAAAUUGGACUGAGUUAUAUAAAAUGAUGUAAAAUUUAUAUAAUACCAUGCUUAGUGUAGUACGUCUAUAUUAUAUAUUUUAAUAUUUAAUAUUAAAAUUUUACAUUACAAUAAAAUUAUUUUUAUUUAUUAAUUAAAAAUAAAAUAACCUCUUGUAACCACCACCAUUAACAACCACAAAAAAUUACAAAUAUUAUCUAUUUAAGUAUCGUCACACUUUGUAUCAUUGAAAUCCUCAUCUUUCGCUCUACACAACGAUAUCAAUAUCUCCAACAACAUAGCUUCUGUUCGUCAUAGAUGUACAACUAAAGUUUUGCAAAUGUUUUCAAUGAUCAAGAGUUGCUGAAAAAAAACUCAUGAUUGCCACCGGGGAUAAAGAAAUCAUUGGCUACUUAAUUUAAAUUAAUAAAUUAGCUACAUAACAUUAAAAUAAGUUCAAUGAUAAAAAAAAAUGUAAAACUGACCCUCUCAAAAGUAGAGCUGACAAAAUUUGACAUGAUUCGAUUACCCGACACGAAUAAAUGGGUAUGGGUCGUCGAAUUUAACAUGAUUAUUAAGUGUGUUGGGUCUGGGUUAGAGUUAAAGUUCUUGACUCAUUUACCUGAUCAAUGACCCGAUUACAUUUUUUAUUUUAAAAUAAUUUGUAGGUUCUUAUUGUCAAAACUCAAAUAUUAGAGAUGAUUCUCUCUUUUCUUUUUAUUUUUUGAAAAUAUAAAUAUAAACACAGUAUUUUAUUUAUAAAAAUUUAUAUAUAUUUAGAGUGUCAAUAAUGUAAAUGUGUAAAAUAUUGUUAGAUAUGUAUAUUUUAUAAUAUCGAUAUAUAAUAUUAUAUAUAUAUAUAUAUAUAUAUAUAUAUAAAAUUAAAAUUUCAAUAGUAUAAAUGUGUAAUAUUUUGGUAGAUAUGUACAUUUUAUAAUAUCGAUAAAUUAUGUAUGUAUUUAUGGAUGUACGACAGUGUGUAAAUGUUUGAUGUAAAUUUUGUUUAAUAUAUAUAGAUAUUAAGCGGGUUAUUGGGUAACCCGAUUAUUUUUUCGUGUCGGGUUUUAGUCUUAAUAUUUUGAUACGAUUAUUAAAUAGGUCGGAUUUUGAUCGAUUUAAAUUUGACACGACAUCAAACUGACACGACCCGAUGACCCAUUUUGUCAACUCUACUCAAAAGUACUGCGAUGGAGGGCGGGUCUCAUUUGGCCAGCCUGCUGAUCUUUUGCCCCUGCCCGACUGUACACCAUGUUUGGUGCACAAAAAUUUGCACUGCGUACACAUGCUAGACCCACGCGCCAAACAUAGUAGCUUUCAAUAAUAAUAACAACAACAAACAUGAAUGGUAACGACAAGUUGCAUUUUCAAGUUGUUUUUAAGACAUUUGGAGUUCCGGAUUUUUCUCAGAUUGGAACAUGGUUAUUAGGGAGUUUGCUUAUCUAAUUAUUUGGCUUGGAUUAUAUAUUUUUGAAUCCAAUCCAAUUUGUAAAUAGAUGAAAUUCAUUCUAUGGUUAUUGAAUAUGCAAUUAGACACAAAUUCACAUCCAAUCUACCCUAUUUUGUUAAUAUGAAUCGGAUUAUAAUUAUUUCUUUACUAUCAAAUCCACAAGAUAAUUAAAUUAAAAACAAAACCGAUACAAACAUAAAUUAGAUUGAUUAAAUUCAAAUUAAUUAAGAUAUGUAAUAAUCCAAUUGUUAAAAUUUCCAAACCAAUCUAAUGACUUAUGAACACCUCAAGUUUUUUUUUUAAUUGGGUUGUCUCAUUAAAUAUUUUUUUAUUUCAAGUAAUAAUUUUUUGCUCCGGAAUUUUAAAAUAUGAGAAAGUUUGAAAAAAUUUUAAAAUUGUGAGGUUUGAUAAAUUUAAAAUUUAAAGCGCAUAAACUACACAAUUAAUAUGUUUUUCGAACUUUCCUCACAUUUUAAAAUUUCAAAUUUGAACAUUUCUAUUAUUUCAAGCUAAAUGUUUUAAGUAGAACAUUUGCACACAUCCGGAUCCCAAUGGGGACUAUCAUACGAGUAUCCAAUUAUGGAUGUAAACAAUUAGAUUAUUUAUAUUAAUUACAUUUAAAAAGUAAACACACACAAAAUCAUAAACAAACCCGCUAAACAGUGACCGACUAAAACUAAAAAACAGAUAACUCAGUCUCUCAAAUGAGUUAGAGUGGUAGAAAAGCUCAAGUCGGCCACAGUCCAGCCCGCAGCUUAAAAUCAUGGAGAAGGACUUGUAAUUUGUAAAGCCCAUAUAUAAUGGACUCAGGUGGCGUUUGUUUUUUAACUUAAUGACUUAAAGUGACUUAGCUUAAUUAAUUAAGUUAAUUAGAGGUUUUUAUUUUUAUAAUUUAAUGAGACUUUUUAGAUAAUUUUGACUUAAUAGAAUAAGCCAAUUUUUUUGGCUUUUUACUUAAUGGAGAAAUCUAAAUUAAGAUGACAUUUGUUUUUUUGUUUGAAAUCUGAAUAGACCUAAAUUAGUUUGAAUUCUGAAUAGAUCUGAAUGUCUGAAUCUGAAUAAUAUGUUUGUUUUUUCGUCUGAAUCUCGAAAAAUAAGUAUUAAGUUGUUUGUUUUUUCCAACUGAAAAAACUGAAAAUAUGUACUUUUACAUUUGUAUUCUUAUUAAAUUUGAAUGUCAAAUAAAUAAUAUAUUAAAUAUCACAAUAUUUUAACAUUUAUAAGUAAAAUUAUAUUCAAGUGAAUACAUAAUUAUUUUAGAAUUUUAAUAUAUAAAAUACAGUAAAUUUCAAAUUUUAUCGUAUAUAAUAUAAGAAAGAAAAAAACAAUGAUAUUUUUAUGUGGAGUAAAUGUCUAUGAGUGAGUUUUGAGAUAGACAUGAAAAAUAAAUUAUAAAACAUAGAUAUUUUUUACAUUAGUAAGUAAUUGACUUAAUUCAAAUUUUUCCAUUAAGUAAAAAGCCAAAAAAAUUGACUUAUUUUAUUAAGUCAAAAUUAUCUAAAAAGUCUCGUUAAGUUAUAAAAACAAACACAUCUAAUUAACUUAAUUAAUUAAGUUAAGUCACUUUAAGUCAUUAAGUUAAAAAAGAAACGCCACCUAAGUCAAUUACUUGUUAAUGAUAAAAAUAUCCCUGCUUUAUAAUUUAUUUUUCAUGUCUAUCCCCAAACUCACUUAUAGACAUUUAUCCUACAUAAUAAUCUCAUCAUUAGUUUUACUUAUAAAUGUUAAAAUAUUAUAGUUUUUAAUAUAUUAUUUAUUUGGCAUUCAAAUUUAAUAAGAAUACAAAUGUAAUAGUAAAUAUUUUUAAUUUUUAAAUAAAAAAAAAUUAAUACUUAUUUUUCAAGAUUCAGACAAAAAAAUAAACAUAUUAUUCAGAUUCAGAUAUUUAGAUCUAUUCAAAAUUCAGAUUAAUUCAAAUUUAUUCAGAUUUUAAAUAAAAAAACAAACGUUACCUCAGUCAAAGACUUUACUUAAAAGUCCGGACUUAAGCCUGGACUUUAUAAUGAAUAUACAUACACACACGUAUAUAUAUAUAUUAAUCCAAAACUUUAUUAUAUAUUAUAAAAUUCAAAUUAAAAAAACUGAAAAAUUAAAAGAAAAAAAAACGGAUUCAAAUCGUUAUUGAACGCGAAACCAAAAUCAAUCCCUAAACUAAAUCCCUCAUUUCUCACUGUUCACGCCGCCGGCAACCAAGAGCGGCCGACAGCGAGCCGCGAGAGUCCAGAACCGCGAGCGUGAAGCGUCCAGCGAACCGCGGCGUGAAGCGUCCAGCGAACCGCGGCGUGAAACGUCCAGCGAACCGCGGCGUGAAACGUCCAGCGAACUAGCCACCCACCAGCACAGCCGCGCGACGCUGCAUCAACCACUGUAACGCGCGCGAGUCAAAUCCCUAAUCGACUCCGUCGCAGCAGCUUCUUCUGUUUUCUACUAUUUUCUACUGCCGCGCGUGAAUCGACGCCGCUGCUGUUCCUGUUCGCUGCUUGUUUCGCACGCCGCCGCAGCCGCCGCCGCCGCCCGCUGUUGCUUGAGGAGUUGAGGUAAUAAGCGCCAUUAGGUUUAAGUCUUGGUCAGUAUUUAUUGGAAAAUUUUGAAGAUCUGAAACUGGUGAUGACAAUAGUGUGAAGACUUAAAUCUGAUUCUUUUAGGACGGAAGUUUUGUAUUGUUUUAGAGCAUUGUGUCAGUAGCUCUGUGGGUACUUUUGCAGUUAAGGGGUCUGAUUUUUCUUUCAUACUUGCUGCUGUGUUGGUAAUUUGAAGUACUUGAAUUAUUUGUUUUGUUGGUUUUCUUUCAUAUUUAAAUUGUUUUCUGUUGUAAGCUGGAAAUUUACGCAUUUUCUGAUGUGGAAGUGGAAAGUUCUCUCCAUUUCUGUUUGUAUUACAUUUGAUGCUGAAAGUUGGGACUUUUCAUCUUCUAUUUUCUUAUGUAUUUAUUUUACAUAUUUGCUUAUCAACAAACUAAUGGCUUUGCAGCUUCAAGUUUGAUUUAAUGCCGAAAAAGAGUAGGUCUGUUAAGGUACCUGAAAAAACGCCAGAAAACCCAGUCGUAGAAGAUGAAAAUCCCUCUUCAAAGCUGAAAAAAUUGGGUAACGAGAUUGAUGAAAUCUUUGCUGGUAAAAAGAGGAAGAAGCCUGAGGGGAAAAAAACCAAGAAGUUGAAUAAAGAUGAAACUAUGGAGCCAAAAUUGGUCAAGAAAAAGAAAGAAAAGAGGAGUAAGGGAGAUACAGAGGAUGGGUUUGCUGAACCUCCUGCUUGGCCUAGAAAGCGAACAGAGGAUGGACUUACUAUCUACACAGAAGAUGAGUUGUGUAUCAAUAACGCUGAUGCUGGAAACACACCACUUUGUCCAUUUGAUUGUUCUUGUUGCUUUUAGUUGUGCUGGCAGAUUGGUAAAUUAUCAUUUAGAAUUUUGCAAUUUUGAUUCGCUGAUUUUAAUUAUGGGUUUUGUUGCUCUAGUUUGUAGAUUAUGGUUUUUGCUUUGCUAGUUGUAGACAAUGAAUUUGAUCGAAGAAAACAGGUGCUAUUCAUUUUAUCCCAUAAUGAAUUAGUUUUGUGUUCUUGAAAGUGCUGAGGAGCAAUUUGAUCUAGUUUUGAUGCGUAUAAAUGUAUCUGCAAGUGCUAAUUAAGUAUAGUUCCAUCAUUAAAUAUCCUCCCUAUAACGAAUUGAAUUUUUGAAGGAGAACUUUUCAUGCAGCAAGGGGUAUGAAAUGUUCUUUAUUUAGUUGAUUUUAUCUGCUAGUUUACAGUUCGGAUGCUCUCAUGAAUCUUGUGAUGCAUCAAAUAGGUUUGUGUUGUGUAUGCUAUUAAGUAAAUUGACAACAGAAUAGCUUUUCUGCAGAAACAUGGCUUAUUGCAGUUUUGGUUAAUAUAAGCUCUGGUAAUGAACAAUAUGUGCUAGUACUGAGUUUGUUCUUACCUCUUUUUGUUUUCAGAUGGUUCUUAUUUCUUUUUUUCUACAUAAUAAAUUUCGUUUUCUGCUUGUCUCAAGGAAGGUGAGUUUGAUUACCUUGAUUAAUAUUCCCUUUCUGUAUUCUCUUAAACAAAUAACAUGAUUAGUCUUUGUAUCUAACUUCACAUGAAUUACUCUUAAGCAUUUUAGUAUUAUUUAUUAUUACUUGUUAUCUAUACCUAAGCAACUUUUUCUAUAUUUCAUUUGAGAUCACUAUGUUUUAUAUUUCAUUCAAAUCACUGAGUUUUAACCGAUGAUUUUAGGUUUUUGGAGUGGUUCUUUUUUCUUUUCUUAUCUUUUUUUUUUUUUUUUAAAUUUUAGCAAGUAACAAAUAUUUGAUUUCAUUUAGUAGAAUAACAAUGCAAAUUACGAUAAACCGUUUAUGGGAUAUGUAUGUACCAAUGUAUCAUAUGUUGAGUACGAGAAAAACUUACGUAGGAUCAGCUACUCAUACUCUGUCAUUCGGCUGACCAGUGGACUGAUCCCACGAUGGCUUCCACCAAAAUUUAAAAAUAAAAAAUAGUGGUCUUAUAGGAGGAUGCACUUGUUCUGCCAAAAGGUAGAGCUUGAGUAGCUCGUUCUAUCAUCUCAGCAGUCUGAGGUAGGACUGACUUAUAUGAAUUUUUCUCGUCAAGUAUAUUGUUAGGACAAUAUAGUGUUAUCUUUGGAAAUGUUUUUUUUCUUUCUUUCUCUUUCUAGUUAAUUUCUUGUCAUUAAAAUAAUUGCAGUUUGAGAAUAAGAUAUUAGUUUAGGGUGGGGUUUCUAAAAUCUUUUACUUAAGAUCAUGACUUAUAUUCAUUGAAUAUACUAAAUCCAGUAAUAUGAAUUUAAAGUUAAAAAAUAUCAUUUAAGUAUUUAUCUAUCUAGUAUUGCAUUGAAUGAAUUCGAUGAUUUAGCCACACAUUACAUAUGUUCAGCUUAUCAUGCACAAAAUUUGUGAAAAAUUUUACUUCUCGCGAAAUAUCUUUUUUAUAUUUUAAAAAGACAUCAUGAACUGAAAUAAUUUCAUAUGUCCCUAAAACAUUUAACAUGCAUGAAACAGUUCCAUAUAAGUUACACGUUAAUUGCCUCAUUGUCCGUUAUAUACUUAUGUUUAAGUUUAGUAAUAAAAAAAGUUAAUUAUUUUUAAAAUAUUGGAAGAAAUUAAAAUUAGAAUUCACCUGCAACUUUAGUACAAUACUUUAUCAGAUGGAGAACUCAAGUGUUAACUUCAAUCAAAGACAAUGGCCUAGAGGGAUUCAUCACUGGAGAAAAUAAGUGUCCAGAUCAGUAUCUUGUUCAAGAUGAAAGUGCUGCUAGCUCCUCUAGUACUAGAUCUGCAUCAAGAAUUGAGAAUCCUGCUUUUUCAGCCUGGAUAAGAACAGAUCAGCUUAUUCUAAGCUGGAUGAUGUUUUCAAUUCAAGAAAAUUUGCUCUCCUCUGUGAUUCACUUUGUCUCUUCUCAAGAGCUUUGAGAUUUCUUAACACGUAUGUUUGUUUCUCAAACUCAUACCAGCAGUAUAUGUCCUUAUAGAUGCACUCUUCUUAAUCAAUGGAACAGUCCUUGAAAAGAAAAUAUUUAUAUCGCUUAAAAUAUAGUAAUAAUGGUGAUGAUAUAAUUAAUUAAACUAUAACCAGACGAGAUGAGAUUCAUAGUUUUCUAAAGAUUACUGAACUUUUGUACACAAUUUAACCUAUUAUGCAUUGAAAUAUGUAUAAUCACUAUAUCAAUUAAGAGAAUUAUUAAAUGAAUCAAAUUAUUUGAAAAAAAAGUAAGAGAAUUAUUAAAUGAAUCAAAUUAUUUGAAAUAAAAGUAAGUCAUAAUCAUUACCAUUAAAUUAUGACCAUUAACUUAAAAUUGUAAAUCAUUAAACCUGGAAUCAUUGAGUAUUGCAUGACACCAUUAGCAUUUAACCUAAAAAAUUCAAAAAACUAAUGCUAACAUGAAAUCUAUGAUCAUUAACUCAAAAUUGUGAUUAUGAAAUAGAGCAUUACAUGAAAUCAUUGUCAUUGAACCUGAUAAUUCUACCAUUAAGCAUGAAAUUAAUGCUAAUAUGAAGUCUAGGACAAUCAACUUAAAAUUGUAAUCAUUAAAUUUUAAAUACUUCCAAAUUAAAUUUAAUCUGUCUUUGUGAUGAGUCCAUUCUACGGCCUUAAAAAGAAAAAGAAAAAAACUAAAUAAAGGUUAUUUUAGCAUUUACUUGAGUGUGUAAAAUAAAUGUUGACUUUUAAAAUUAAUUUAAUUAUUGUAAAUGAUAAUAUCUAAUAAUAGUAUUAAAAAUCUUAAUAUUUAAAUUUCAAUUAUUAUGUGUCAUUUAUUGUAUAUAGAAUAAAAGAAAAGAAAUCCAAAUGGCAAAAACACCACAAUUUCAGUGAGUUAUCUGCAACUUGCUAUAACAGGUGAAAAUAAUUUUAUUACCAGAUUGGAACCGGAAGAGGCAAUUAUUAAAUCAGUAAAUUUUUACACAUGCCAUGCUGUUAACAAAUCUUUUGUCACAUCAUGGACUGUAACGUACAUAAAUACUAAGAUAGCAAGACCCUUUUUUUUUUUUAAUUAUAUGAAUCGAACUUUUUUCAGUUUUUCAAUUUUGGACAUGAUCUUUGAUAAGAUUAACUCUAUGAAAUCAAGUGACUGAUUAAUAUACAUUUUGUAUUUUAGCAUAUUGUAACGACUCUUUAUGAAAACAAGUGAUUGAUAUGCAUUUCGUAUUUAACUCUCUAUGAAAAAGUGACCGAUUGAUAUAUAUUUUGUAUUUUAGCAUGUUGUAAUAGGUAUCUUGUAAUCACAAGGACGAAGUAGUGUUGCUACUUGAUGCAUAAUAACUCCCAACACGACAUGCCGUAAAAGAUCAUUUCAAGUUGCAAUUGGACCAUAUGGAAGACUUGCAUGUAACCGUUCAUAAGUAACCUAUACAUGUGUAUGUCAGGAGUACAGGACAUAAAAAAUCAAAUGAGAAGAUGCCACGGCUCAUUUCGCAUCAUUGCAAUGAAUGGAGAAGCUUAAGCCUAUAUAGAUUGAACCCGAUUUGGAAGCUAUCCCCCGAACCCGCCCCGUACCCGAAAAAUUGUAGUGGGAGAUAGUUUGGGUAUGUCCCCAAAAAUCUUUAAAUUGAGUGGUGAUUAAAGCGGGACACGAUCUCCAUUUUUUCAAAUAAUAAUUUCUAAAUUUUCGGUUCUCUUUAAAAAAAAAAUUAAUAAUUCUAACAACCUCGAUAUUUAAAAAUAAAAUUACAAAUGAUCAAAUUUCAUAUUAAAAAUAAAAUUACAAGUGAUCAAAUUUUAACAACCUCCAUAAAUAAAAACAUAAUAAUUCUAAACCUUCAACAUAAUUACAAAUGAUCAAAUUUUAUAUGACAAAUCAAAAUAAUUUUAAGUUUUCAACAUAAACUUGUAGCCAUCACCAUUGAUGCAUGUUUUAAGAUUCUUCAAAAGCCUAUAACAACAUAAACAAAAAAUAAAUAAAAAAUAAAAAUAUGUUUUAACAAUUCAACUUAAUAAAUACUUGACAAAAUAAUAUAAACUAAAACUAUAUACCUAGAGCCUCUACAUGUGAGCAGUUUUGAGUGAUAGAAUAUUGUGUAAUAACAGGAAGGAUUAUGAGCAGGACAAACAGAUUCACUCAAUGAAAUCCCUUAUUCACACAAAGGAGAAUAAUAUUAGUAACACAACACAUUACCAUUACAAGAAGACUCAAUUCAUUUUAUCAAAACAAGAACUGAACAUUCAUCCAGAUAAACCAAGCAACUGCAGAGAAGCAUAUGAGGUGAAAAAAAACACUCACGAUGUUUAAAGGCGGCACGUGUUUAGAAGCUCCCUGUCCACCAGGGGCGCUUAUUUUGCUGAGAAGGUUAAAGCAUUACAAGUGAAAAACAUGCUUUGAAUUAGUAAUUUGGUUACCGUGUCAUUACAACUGUGAAAAUAAUUUGGGUUAUUUUCUUUCUGUAAUUGCUUUCUUUUUCCUCUGUAGUCUGUACAUGUUGGGCUGCUCCCUUUUGACAGACACAACCGACCUUUUACGGUAUUCAAGUUUGGGUUAUUUUUGUAAUUCUUCAAAAGAUGAAUUACACAUCAAAUAUUGAGACGUGUGGUUUGCUGCACACAUUAUAUUUGAAGAAGUAUAUUGAAUGAAGAAGUCUUGAUUAUUGCUUCAGUUUUACAACAUUAGUAUUAAUGGGGUGUGAUGAACAAGGAGGGGUGACGCUAGAAUUAUUGGGCUGCUUUUUACCCCAUAUCAUAGAGAGACAAUUAUAUCUCUACCUAAAUUUAUUAAGAGGAAAAUUGACUCACAAUCAUUAGUGAGACUCAAACCCACGUAGGCUAUGAGAUAAUGUGAGAGUAUGAAUUCGAACUAUGUUAUAG
rnacentral:lncRNA from 1 species